GGUCGUUAUUUAUAGCAGAUGGAUUUAAGUUAGGGGAUAUCUCGUCCCUACGAUCAUAAUCGGACGGUUGAGAAAAUAUAGGUUAGGAAGUCCAAAUAAUAAACCAAAGAUAUUUUGGGGAUGUUUGGAGAUGAUCCGGACCCAUCGGUCAUGACCGUGCGGUUCGGGUUCGGGAGAGGUUUCGGACGCGGGAGGGAUUUGACAAAAGGUCACGGAGACAAGGGGUUCAAUUUAGAAAAGUGAGAGAAGAGAGCGGUCCGGUUGAUCUGAGAGAAGGUCAACUGAGACAAGGAAAAAGUGGCAACUACGAGUGGAUGCAAGUUUUAUGAAAACAUGCGAGUGCAAUGCACAUGAUGACAGGAUGAAAUGCAAUAAGCAAACGAAACACAUGACAACAACGAAAAACAUGGAAGCCGCCUGGAGCGUCGGUCCCGGGUCGUUACAACUCUCCUCCGCUUACAAGAGAUCUCGCCCCAAGAUCUAAGGAUGAAAACAGAAGAGUUAGAGAAGAGGUAAAACUAAGUUGCUUCAUUGACAAACGAGUGAAACCAAAUAAACAUGAGAGAUCGCAAAGCUUGAGGAAAUGACACGACGAAGGUGAACAAAAUUUAAAACACUCCGUUCAGCAAGAGUGAGAAGGAACAUUACAAGAACCUUGCAGGUUGAAAGACAUUAGAAAAGGGUUACAAUGGAGAAGAAGUACAUGCAAGCACUCCGGUUGAAAUGAGAUGUACAAGGAACGAUAAAGAAUAAUUACAACAACACUCCGGUUGGAAAUGGUAGGAAUAGAAUAUGAACUUGGCAAAAUGAAAGCACUUGGAUGAGACUCCGGUUAAAAGAGGAAUGAUAGUCACAACAUCCGGUUAAAUUGAUAAACAAUAAAAUCACAUGAUCUUGACAAAACAAGAUGAUGGGUCAAAGAGAGGAACAUCACCAUGCCUCCGAAACGAAAGAAUAGAAAGUAAAUCAUUUGAAGGAAAAGAAAGGGGAAAACUAAAGACAACUUACACCAUAAUUGAGUUGAGAAGCAUACUUGCAAGGAAGGAUUGAACAGAGUUGUUGGAAAUUCAACAACGAAAAGAAUAAGCUUGUUGUGGGCUUAUGGAAAACAUCUCAAAAUUGAGGUGAAAUUCUGUCACUAACGGAAUCAAUUAAUUUGAUUGAGAACACCAAAGAGAUGAAAAACUUCUUCCACCAAGAUGAUAAAGAGAUAACUUGGAUCAUUGAUAAGCACCACAAUUGGCAACAUUCCUUAGGGAAGGAUUUAGGUGACAUAUCUACCAAGAUAACUCCAAUGAGGAGAUUGAUGGAUUUAAAAGAUCUCUUGAACGAAGAGAAAAUGAUGGAUUUAAAUAUCUCAAUCCUGACAACUUGUGAAUCAUGAAACAUGAAGAGAAAUUAUCAAGAAUGAUAUAACACCACCUCAAAAGAUAAAAUAGAAAGAAUUGCACUUUGGAAUGCAAGAUGAAGAAUUCUUGAGCUCCAACAAGAAUCUUGACGAAUACUUCUAUAAUGAAUGCACUCUUUGAUGAACCACCAUGUCGAGCAUUCAUGAAGGACUCCGAUAAUGGAAGGAUUAUAUAAAAGAAUUGAAGGUUGAAAAGAACAAUAAUUGAAGACUUGGAAUGAUUUAUAUGGAGCUUCGUGACGAGACAACCAAGAAAACAUGGAACUCCUGAAAAGAAAGAUGUGCAACUUGAACCAAGAAUUGAUAUCAUGAACGAACUCCAGAAGAAAAGAAUUGAAUCACCUCAAGGAAAACAAGAAUAAGAUUUAAUUUAUGUUUAUCUUUCAUCAACUCAAACUGAUAACAAGCAAUGGGUUUCCCAUACUACGUAUUCUCGUUGAAAGGAUUAAGAGAGAUAUAGCACAAACUUGGGGAAAUCUUGAUCGACUCACCGGUAGGAUUUGAAAAUGAACAUAGCAAAGGGCCGAAUCAUCGGGAAGAAUUAGAAAACAAAUGAAGAUACUUGGGGAAAGUUAGAUACGAGAGAAUGAAGAGAUCAUGAGCUGACUAGGGAAUACUUGAGCGAUGCAUGAUAACCCACAAGUAUACAGGAUCGCAACAGUUUUCGAGGGUAGAGUAUUCAACCCAAAUUUAUUGAUUCGACACAAGGGGAGCCAAAAAAUAUUCUCGAGUAUUAGCAGAUGAGUUGUCAAUUCAACCACACCUGGAAACUUAAUAUCUGCAGCAAAGUGUUUAGUAGCAAAGUAAUAUGAUAGUAGUGGUAACGGUGGUAAAAGGUAACGGUAGGAAAAGUAAUAUUUUUGGUGUUUUGUAGUGAUGAUCACAAUAGCAACGGAAAAGUAAAUAAGCGAAGAACAAUAUAUGGAAAGCUCGUAGGCAUUGGAUCAGUGAUAGAGAAUUAUACCGGAUGCGGUUCAUCAUGUAACAGUCAUAACCUAGGGUGACACAGAACUAGCUCCAGUUCAUCAAUGUAAUGUAGGCAUGUAUUCCGAAUAUAGUCAUACAUGCUUAUGGAAAAGAACUUGCAUGACAUAUUUUGUCCUACCCUCCCGUGGCAGCGGGGUCCUAGCGGAAAAUAAGGGAUAUUAAGGCCUCCUUUUAAUAGAAUACCGGAACAAAGCAUUAAAACAUAGUGAAUAAAUGAACUCCUCAAACUACGGUCAACACCGAUAAGUAUCCCGAUUAUUGUCACUUCGGGGUUAACGGAUCAUAACACAUAAUAGGUGACUAUGGACUUGCAAGAUAGGAUCAAGAACUCUCAUAUAUUGAUGAAAACAUAAUAGGUUCAGAUCUGAAAUCAUGGCACUCGGGCCCUAGUGACAAGCAUUAAGCAUAGCAAAGUCAUAGCAACAUCAAUGUCAGAACAUAGUGGAUACUAGGGAUCAAACUCUAACAAAACUAACACGAUUACAUGAUAAAUCUCAUCCAACCCAUCACCAUCCAGCAAGCCUACGAUGGAAUUACUCACGUAUGGCGGUGAGCAUCAUGAAAUUGGUGAUGGAGGAUGGUUGAUGAUGACGAUGGCGACGGAUUCCCCUCUCCGGAGCCCCGAACGGACUCCAGAUCAGCCCUCCCGAGAGAGUUUAGGGCUUGGCGGCGGCUCUGUAUCGUAAAACGCGAUGAAUCCUUCUCCCUGGCUUUUUUCUCCCCGAAAGUGUAUAUAUGGAGUAAGGGUUGAGGUCGGUGGAGCGUCAGGCGGCCCACGAGGCAGGGGGUGCGCCCAGGGGGUAGGGCGCACCCCCACUGUCGGUGUCAAAACCGGCGGAUCUCGGGUAGGGGGUCCCGAACUGUGCGUCAAGGCCGGAUGGUAACAUGAGACAAGGGACACGAUGUUUUUACCCAGGUUCGGGCCCUCUCGAUGGAGGUAAUACCCUACUCCUGCUUGAUUAAUAUUGAUGAUAUGGGUAGUACAAGAGUAGAUCUACCACGAGAUCAAGGAGGCUAAACCCUAGAAGCUAGCCUAUGGUAUGAUUGUUGUAUAUGGAGUUGAUGUCCUACGGACUACAACCCUAUGGUUUAUAUAGACACCGGAUAGGGUUAGGGUUACACAGAGUCGGUUACAAUGGUAGGAGAUCUUGAAUAUCCGCAUCGCCAAGCUUGCCUUCCACGCCAAGGAAAGUCCCAUCCGGACACGGGACGAAGUCUUCAAUCUUGUAUCUUCAUAGUCCAGGAGUCCGGCUGAAGGUAUAGUCCGGCUACCCGAACACCCCCUAAUCCAGGACUCCCUUAGUAGCCCCUGAACCAGGCUUCAAUGACGACGAGUCCGGCGCGCAGAUUGUUCGGCAUUGCAAGGCGGGUUCUUCUCCAAAUCCUGUGUACCUAUAGGAAUAAUGUCUGAUUUUUGUAAUGUAGUGCUCCUCGGCUUCCACGCCCAAUAAUGGCCGUCUUCCACGUGUCAAACGAAUGCGAAAAGCCGGGGCGUUUUUACAUCCACACCCCUAGCCGUAUAAACGAGCCGCCUAUUUAACGGGAUGGGGAUUUAGGUCCAAACCACAUGUUCUCCUCUCCAUGAGUUAUCAUCAGAGCGCUUCCAGCAAAGGUCCAUUCCAACAUGACCAGCCGUCGCAGCUCCUCCCCUCGCCCCUCCGGUCCCAAACCCGGGGACUGGGAGAGUUGCACCAUCCCGCAUAGCGAGUUAGUGUCGCUUCAGGCCAAGGGAUUUCUCCCUCAGGCAUACAUGGUCCCGGUCCGAGCCAGUCUCGCCACCUACAAUGGCGGAAAACAAGCGGAGAGCACCCCCAAUCCUUCUAAAGGAGAGCGGGUGUGCCUCGUCCCCUAUCUAAUAAGGGGACUGGGAUUUCCAAUUCAUCCAUUUCUCUGCGGGCUUCUGGAGUUCUACGGCCUCCAGCUGCACAAUCUCACGCCCGCCUCCGUAUUACAUAUUGCGGGUUUCGUCGCCCUUUGCGAGCUAAUUUUAGGCGUUGAGGCUCAUUUCACGCUGUGGAAGAGGUUAUUCUGCCUGGUGCCCCGUUCUCAAGAGGGAUCUAUAUACCAAGUGGGCGGAGCCGAAGUAUGGCGCAUCGCCGGGACCGGAUACAUAUCCGGAACCCCAAAGAAGGCGUCCGAGGACUGGCCUUCGGAAUGGUUUUACAUAGAUGACGUCCCGCUACCGGACCCUAUCCGGGUCAGUCUCCCUGAGUUCAACAGUGCUCCAUUGAAGAAACGCUUGAGCUGGCGUCCGUGGAGCUCCCAGAGAGAAAGCGACAGAGACGUCCUUUACUUGAUGGGCCGAAUAAGACUGUUGGCUUAUUUCGGACUAACCAUGAUUGGAGUCAUGGCCGCAUGCAUUAUGCGGGGGGUGCAGCCGCUUCAAUAUAGAGGCCACCCCAUGUGGGAUUUCAACGGGGAGGAUGACGCCACCCGUUACGGUCGUAAGGGGCCGGCCUCAGCCGCUGCCCUAGUAAAGAUCUUAUCCUCUUUGUACAAGGGAGAAAAGGAGGAAUUCCUCCGCGUCAACCCGCGGGCCGGAUUUACUAUGUACGAUCCUCCAAGUUGGGUAAGUGAACAAUUGCGCUUGGCCGUUUGUUUUAUACUCCCACGGUUAGAUAUGUAGUCUAACGACUUCAAUGCAGGAACUGCGACAGGAGGUAAAGGGUAUAAACAACCGCCCUCCACAGCCCGAGGACCCAGAACGGUCCCUCGAUCCGGACUCCGAAGAGGAUCCGGACAUAUCGGUGGAGCUUAUCGACGGGGUGUUCCAUCAGCUAAGCAAGGACAAUUCCUUGGUAGCCAUUACGACUGAUUACCCAGGGUUAAUCCCGGCCUCCCAGGUGACAGAAACCGGAGUCUCAUUCCCUUGAGAGAGAUUCUACUCUCACGUAUUCCGGUGUUUUUGACGACAACCGUGUUUUGCAGGGGAGAUUUUCGAGGCGGGAGGCCGAACCUGCGACGGCUAGCCAACGAGGGGCCGCAGGGCCCUGUGGGGCAAAAAGGAAUGUAGUCCGGACUGAGAUGCCGACGCAAAGGUAUAGCGCACCCUCUGUUUCCCUGGUGUUAUUCUGUCAGGGCAUAUUAACAUUCGUGCUAUCUUCAGAACGAAGAGACCUCGCCGGACUACAUCCAGAGAGGUUGCCAAUCGCACCUCCACCAGCCAGGCUCCAACGUCUGGCCAGGAAGCGGAGGCGAGCACAAGGCGCGCACCGGACGCUCUUCCGACAAAGGAUGCGGACAGGCUGUCUGCCAAAAAUUCUGAAGUGGAGAGUGCCAUGAACCACAGGCAUCGCCGGACAGUUCUAUGCGACGCUUGUUUCUCCCAAGAGGCUUUAGAUGCCUUUAAUUCGGGAGAUGCGUACCUCCGUGCCGCUCAAAAUGGUUUAGUCAGAGCCACGGAGCAGUAUGUAAAAGACAUACGGGUAAGAAAAUUUUGGUCAAAUAUAUAUAUACCAGUAGCCCCCGAGACUUGAAACAGUUAGAGCAACUGAUUUAAGGAUCAUUUAAUAUGCAGGUUCUUACAGAGAAGAAUACCGUACUGUCCCAGGAGCUGGAAAAGUGCAAGGCCCAACUAGAGGCCGCACAAGCCGCAGCAGGGGAGCCCAAAGAGACCACCUCAGGUAAGAUACACUUCGAAAGAUUAGUAUUGUGCGGUGUGGGUGCAAAUCUGACAAAUCAUAUUGCAGAUGGCGCCGGACUCGAUCCGGAAAAGCAACAACUCUUACGCCGGCUAAAGGCCGGUGAGAGUACGUUGACAAAAGUGAGGCGAGAGAAGAAUGAUCUUCAGGAUGCCAACACCAAGCUGGACAUCAAACUUAAAGAUGUUCGUGGCCAGCUGUCGGACUCCACGAAGCAGAAUCAGCGGCUUUGACGCGGCAUAUUUAGUAAGUGCUUCAACGAACUUUGAAAAAAAAGUUCGGCGAGGAAGUCGACUAAUAGAGUAAUGUCUGUAGGUAUGCUCACAUGUCGUCCUGCAGAGGAGAUGCCCGGUUCUACGGGUGACCUUCUUCCCGAACUCUUGCGACUCCACGAGCGAAUUCGGCAGGCGAUGCGAGGCGUUGCCCAAGCCUUAUGGCCUGCCCACUCCAUGCCCGAGGGCCUUGGAGAGCUUCCGGAGAAGCUGAAGGGAGCUCGGCGGCGCUUCCGGUUGUGGAAGAUAUCGGCCUGCCGACAAGGCGCUAGGGAGGCCUGGGCCAUGGUGAAGACCCGUUUUACGAAGUCUGACCCAAACCACAUGGCCGAGGUCGGACCAGUGGGGCCUGACGGGAAGGAGAUCCCUGUAAGCUUAGUAUACGGCCAAGUAGAAUUGGCCGCGAAGUAUUCCCAGCAGGAUUAUAAAUUAGAUAGCCUGUUAGAUGGUAUAGAAGAGGAAUACAAUCAGUCAGAAUGACUAUGUAAUUUUGAAUUGACAUGUGUAAUGCCUUCUAGCCGGAUUGUAGAUCGUUUGUCGUUGCCGACCUUUUCGCUUCAACCUCGGGACCUGACGGUCCGGAGUGUGUCCGAAUACCGUAGCGGUUAUAUAAGAACCGGGGUAUGCGUGGAGACCAGGCGUAGGGGUCAUUAGUGCUUUAUCAGACAAGUGCCCAACUAGUUAUGUUAUAUUACAUGGUUAGUAAGAAACAUCUUCCAGAGAGAAUAGUUCCGUUAGGGGUUCCUUUCGCUGGGAGGCAUGCCCUAAAGUGCAUGUCCAGACUGCGUGAAAAGAUGCAGAAAAAAGCAUCUGGGGGCGCAUAAAAUGAGUAAAAAAGAUCAUCUUUUAUUUCACCGACCGAAUAUUCCCUUAAGAACGCUAGCUUUCGGCUUCACCCAGUCUGAAGUACACAUCCGGCUGACCCGGCAGUAACAAUCGCAGAGGUGCUCCCUUUACCGCCUAGCCGAACAAUCGGGAACGUAGGGGUAAGCACAGGAGCCAGGCAACCCAGCUUGGCCAAAACUUAAGUCAUAUCGAUGCAUAUAAUGGUGAAGAAAAAGGUACAUGCAGAAGCUUGACGCAUGUGUUGGGCGUGAAGCCCGUAUAAAUAAGCUUCUGUUAAAGAAGCCCCCAGGUUUAAUAAGCGCGAGUGGCGCGUCACUAGAUGAGCCUUUAAGGGCUAUAAAAGAAAAGAGGUGAAGGAGAGAAAUGUAAGACAGAAAAAUGCAAAAAAUGGACAGAGGAAGGAGACGAACACAGAGUCUGGCGCUAGGCAUAGAAUCUUCGGAGACGGGUGGCGUUCCACGGGUUCGGCUCGAGUCGGUUAUCCAACGCAUCUCGCAGGCUGUAUGCCCCACCAGUCAGGACUUGGUCGAUUAUGAAUGGACCUUACCACUUGAGCUUGAGUUUGUCCUUUUUCUUAUCCGGCAGGCGUAGAACUAGUUCGCCAUCAUUGUAAUUUUUGGCCCGUACUUCUCUACUUUGAUAUCUUCGGGCCUACUGUUGAUAAAAUGUGGAACGGGCUUUUGCCACGUCACGCUCCUCCUCCAAGGCGUCCAAGUUGUCCUGCCGAUCGAGCUCGGCUUCUCUUUCUUCGUACAUGCGCACUCUAGGUGAGUCAUGAAUUAUGUCGCAGGGCAGAACUGCCUCUGCGCCAUACACCAUAAAAAAUGGUGUGUAUUCGGUGGUGCGAUUUGGCAUGGUCCACAACCCCCAUAGCACGGAGUCGAGCUCCUCUACCCAGUGCGUUUUAGAUUCCUUGAGGGACCGCACCAGUCUAGGUUUAAUGCCACUCAUGAUAAGACCAUUUGCACGUUCGACUUGGCCGUUGGUUUGUGGGUGAUAGACGGAAGCAUAAUCGAGCUUGAUGCCCAUGUUUUUGCACCAGAGUUUUACCUCGUCGGCGGUAAAGUUUGUACCGUUAUCGGUUAUGAUGCUGUGGGAGACGCCAUAACGGUGUACAACCCCGGAUAUGAAGUCUAUCACAGGUCCGGAUUCGGCCGUUUUAACAGGCUUGGCUUCUAUCCAUUUGGUGAACUUAUCCACCAUGACCAGUAAGUAUUUUUUCCUAUGGGUCCCACCUUUAAGGGGUCCGACCAUGUCAAGGCUCCAGACCGCAAAAGGCCAGGUGAUGGGUAUAGUUUGGAGUGCGGUGGGUGGCAUAUGGCUUUGGUUGGCAAAAAGUUGGCAACCAACGCAUCGUUGGACUAGGUCCUGAGCGUCUGCCCGGGCCGUCGGCCAAUAAAAGACUGUACGGAAAGCCUUGCUAACAAGGGACCGAGCAGCGGCGUGGUGACCACUGAGUCCAGCAUGAAUUUCAGCCAGAAGGAUCCGCCCUUCCUCUUCGGAGAUGCACCUUUGAAGGACUCCGGUAGUGCUUUUCUUAUAAAGCUCUCCCUCAUGGACUCUAUAGGCUUUAGAUCGCCGCACUAUGCAGCGGGCCUUGUUUUGGUCCUCCAGGAGUUCCUGCCUAGUAAGGUAGGCUAGGAAUGGUUCUGUCCACGAGGCGAUAACUGCCAUUAUUACGCGGGCUGAAGGUGUAAUCUCAUUGGCAGAGCCUCCAAUUAUGUCAGAUUGUUCGGCGUCGGGUGGUGCGGCUGGGUCCGGGCUGUUAUUUGCGGGUUCCCCCUCCCAUGCUACGGAUGGCUUGAACAAUCUUUCCAAAAAGAUGUUGGGGGGGAAUGCAUCGCGUUUUGCUCCGAUGCGUGCCAGGACGUCCGCUGCUUGAUUGUUUUCUCGGGCUAUAUGGUGAAACUCCAGCCCUUCGAACAGAGCUGACAUUUUUAGGACGGCGUUGUGGUAAGCUGCCAUUUUUGGGUCCUUGGCGUCGAAGUCUCCAUUUAUUUGGGAUAUCGCGAGGUUCGAAUCCCCGCGUACCUCUAGGCGCUGGAUACCCAUGGAUACUGCUAUCCGGAGACCAUGUAGGAGGGCCUCAUAUUCGGCUGCAUUGUUGGAAUCCGUGUACAUGAUCUGAAGCACAUAUUGGACUGUGUCUCCUGUGGGGGACGUCAGGACGACGCCAGCCCCCACUCCGGCCAACAUUUUGCAGCCGUCGAAAUGCAUAAUCCAGUUUGAAUAUGUGCCGUACUCUUUAGGGAGCUCGGCCUCCGUCCAUUCUGCGACGAAGUCGGCCAAAACUUGCGAUUUAAUAGCUCGCCGUGGCUUAUAGGUUAUAUCGAACGGGAGAAGCUCGAUGGCCCAUUUUGCAAUCCGGCCUGUUGCGUCGCGGUUGUUGAUAAUAUCGUUGAGUGGUACUUCCGAGGCUACUGUUAUGGAACACUCUUGAAAGUAGUGUCGUAGCUUCCGGGAUGCCAUGAAUACCGCGUAUGCAAUCUUUUGAUAAUGCGGGUACCGUGAUUUGCAUGGAGUGAGGAUAGUGGACACGUAGUAGAACGGCCUUCGAAGGGGGAAUUUAUGUCCAUCCGUUUCCCGCUCGACAACGAGCACUGCGCUGACAACUUGAUGUGUUGCUGCAAUGUACAAUAACAUUGGUUCGCCGGUGUUCGGCGCGGCCAGGACUGGGUUUGUUGCCAAUAUGGCUUUUAUUUCAUCAAGUCCGGCCGUGGCGGCAUCCGUCCACUCGAAGUGUUCGGUGCGCCGAAGGAGGCGAUAGAGGGGUAGUGCCUUUUCUCCCAAGCGGGAGAUGAAGCGGCUUAAAGCCGCCAUGCAUCCGGUUAAUUUUUGUAUUUGUUUGAGGUCCUUUGGGGUAUCCAAUUGUGACAAAGCUUGGAUCUUGGCUGGAUUUGCUUCAAUUCCUCUACCGGAUACAAUGAAGCCCAAGAGCUUUCCGGCUAGAACGCCGAAGACGCAUUUUUCCGGGUUGAGCUUGAUGUCAUAUUUUCGGAGGUUAUCGAAUGUAAGCCUCAAGUCGUCUACUAGAGAUUCGACAUGUCUUGAUUUGACGACCACAUCAUCCACAUACGCCUCCACUAUUUUGCCGAUCUGGUUUGCCAGACAUGUCUGGAUCAUGCGCUGAUAUGUUGCGCCGGUGUUUUUCAGCCCGAAGGGCAUUGUGUUGAAGUAGAAUGGGCCGUAUGGUGUGAUGAAUGCUAUUGCGGCUUGGUCUGAUUCUGCCAUCUUGAUUUGAUGGUAACCGGAGUAUGCGUCGAGGAAACACAACGAAUCGUGUCCUGCGGUGGCAUCGAUAAUUUGAUCGAUACGGGGGAGGGGGAAGGGAUACUUUGGGCAAGCCUUGUUAAGGUCUUUAAAAUCGACACACAGGCGCCAGGAUUUCUCCUUCUUUGGUACCAUCACCAGGUUUGCUAGCCAGUCCGGAUGUUUUAUGUCUCUAAUGAAUCUGGCCUCCAAUAGCUUGGCUAGCUCCUCUCCCAUAGCCUGUCUCUUGGGUUCGGAAAAACGCCGAAGGGCUUGUUUGACAGGUUUGAAUCCUUUUAGGAUAUUUAAGCUGUGUUCGGCCAGCCUGCAUGGGAUCCCUGGCAUGUCUGAAGGGUGCCAGGCGAAAAUGUCCCAGUUCUCUCGUAGGUGCUCUCGCAGUGCGGCAUCUACAUCAGGGUUCAGUCGUGCCCCGAUGGAAGCUGUUUUAUUGGGGUCCGUUGGAUGGACCUGGAAUUUGACUAUUUCGUCAGCUGGCUUGAAGGAUGUGGAUUUGGAUCUCUUGUCGAGUAUCACAUCGUCCCUGUUAACCGUGGAGCGCAGCGCAGUCAGUUCCUCGCCCCCUAAGGCUUCGGAUAGUGCCUCAAGGGCUAAUGCGGCCGUCUUGUUUUUGGCGCGGAGUGCUAUGUUCGGAUCACUAGCUAGAGUGAUAAUUCCGUUCGGCCCGGGCAUCUUAAGCUUCAUGUACCCGUAAUGGGGUAUUGCUUGGAAGACUGUGAAUGCUUCCCGCCCUAGUAAAGCGUGAUAUCCGCUUUUGAACGGGGCCACCUGAAACGUGACUUCUUCGGACCUGUAAUUAUCCGGCGUGCCGAACACCACAUCUAGUGUGAUUUUUCCUGUGCAGAGCGCUUCCCGACUGGGGAUUAUUCCUCUAAAGGUUGUGCUGCUUCGCUCGAUGCGGUUCCAGUCUAUUUCCAUUUUUUGAAGGGUUUCCUCAUAAAUGAGGUUCAGUCCGCUGCCUCCAUCCAUGAGCACCUUGGUGAGGCAAAAGCUGUCCACUAUGGGACUGAGGACCAAUGCGGCUGGUGCUCGGGCUGUUCAGAAUCUAGGUUCAUCACUUGUGUUGAAGGUAAUAGCAGUGUCGCUCCAUGGAUUUAUUGCAACUUGAUAGACUUCGGCGAGGCUGCGGAGUGUUCUUUUUCACAUAUUGUUUGAUGCGAAAGUCUCGAAGACUGUGAGAACGGUACUGGUGUCCUCAGGCUGGCUUUCUGCGACCUCCAGAAUUAAGAGGUCCUCGCCAAUUUUGGCCACCUGCCGGAGUAUCCAACAUGCUCUAAGGCUGUGACUUGGUGUGGCGUCCUCUGUACUGUGAAUUCUACAGGGUCCAUCAAGCCACCUUUCUAGUAUGGUUCCAUGCCCUGUAGAGGGUUUUGGCUUUUUGGUGCAUAUCCCGGGUGUCCUAUAAUGAUGCGCCCUCUUAGUUCGGACGGGAUUACUAUUCAAGGCCGGAUUAUCCCAAAAUUUUAUUUCGGUUUUCUAGGCGCUUUCCAUCGCACAGUACUUUUGUACUACGGACGCCAAGUCAGCGAAGCGUGUAAUAUAACGACGACUUACGGCGUUAAGGAUUCCCUCGUCCAUGCAUUUACUGCAGAAAAUUGAGAUUGCAUCUCCCUCGCGGCAAUCCUUUAUCCUGUUCAUAACCAGGAGGAAUCUGGCCCAGUAAUGAUGUACUAUUUCCUCGUGCGUCUGCCUGAUUUGGGAGAGAUCGCUUAUGUUCGGGUGGGCGGGUGUCGUUGAAUCUGAAACCUCACCUAAUCCAAGAUUUGGAGGCCGAAGAGUUUCUGAACUCUGAAGUUCGGAUUCUUGGAUGUUGUCCAAUGAAUCUAGCCCGUUGCCUGAUCCUAAGCUUAGGUCUUGAGUUACAUCCUCCCCUCCGCUGGUAUCCGGCUUGGAGGGGUCGGGAAUUCGGACGUAGCUAGUCCUUAAGAUAGAUGAAGGGUCGCCGCACUGCGCCUUUGCCACGGCAACAUGGUGGGUGACUUGGGGAGAGUUAAUUUCUCUUAGAUCGGGUUUAAGCCCAACCUGGUCGUAAUCCGUAGCGACCCCCAGGGCGGUGAUGCGAUCCAAGAGCUCGUUUACGGAAGAGAGCUCCAUUGGAUCUAGCUGCUCGAUGAGCUCUAAGCUGACGUGUAGGUUGCUUUUGAUGACCCGAGAGGUCACCGUCGACGCAACAGCCGAACAUGCGGUCAUGAGGAAACCACCUAGCCGGAGAGUUUGGCCGACAGCCAGGGCUCCCUUAGCAACGGCGCCGUCUUUAAAGAUGGGAGGAGGCAUCCUUCCUGAUUGCGACGACACAGAGGAACUCUCAAUGAAAGCACCAAUGUCGGUGUCAAAACCGGCGGAUCUCGGAUAGGGGGUCCCGAACUGUGCGUCAAGGUCGGAUGGUAACAGGAGACAAGGGACACGAUGUUUUUACCCAGGUUCGGGCCCUCUCGAUGGAGGUAAUACCCUACUCCUGCUUGAUUAAUAUUGAUGAUAUGGGUAGUACAAGAGUAGAUCUACCAUGAGAUCAAGGAGGCUAAACACUAGAAGCUAGCCUAUGGUAUGAUUGUUGUAUAUGGAGUUGAUGUCCUACGGACUACAACCCUCCGGUUUAUAUAGACACCGGAUAGGGUUAGGGUUACACAGAGUCGGUUACAAUGGUAGGAGAUCUUGAAUAUCCGCAUCGCCAAGCUUUCCUUCCACUCCAAGGAAAGUCCCAUCCGGACACGGGACGAAGUCUUCAAUCUUGUAUCUUCAUAGUCCAGGAGUCCGGCUGAAGGUAUAGUCUGACUACCCGAACACCCCCUAAUCCAGGACUCCCUCACCCACCCUCGUGGACAGGUGGAGCCCCCCCUGAUGUGGAUCUUCCUUCCAGUAUUUUUUAUAUAUGCCAAAAUAAUUCUCCGUUGAUUUUCAGGUCAUUCCGAGAACUUUUAUUUCUGCACAAAAAUAACACCAUGGCAAUUCUACUGAAAACAUCGUCAGUCCGGGUUAGUUCCAUUCAAAUGAUGCAAAUUAGAGUCCAAAACAAGGGAAAAAGUGCUUGGAAAAGUAGAUACGAUGGAGACGUAUCAACUCCCCCAAGCUUAAACCUUUGCUUGUCCUCAAGCAAUUCAGUUGAUACAAUGAAAGUGAUAAAGAAAAACUUUUACAAACUCUGUUUGCUCUUGUUGUUGUAAAUAUGUAAAGCCAGCAUUUAAGUUUUUAGCAAAGAUUAUGAACUAACCAUAUUCACAAUAACAUUUAGGUCUCAUGUUUAUUCAUAUCAAUAGCAUAAUCAACUAGCGAGCAAUAAUAAUAAAUCUCGGAUGACAACACUUUCUCGAAAAAAUCAUGAUAUGAUAUAACAAGAUGGCAUCUCGCUAGCCCUUUCUGAGAUCGCAAAACAUAAAUGCAGAGCACCUUUAAAGAUCAAGGACUGACUAUACAUUGUAAUUCAUGGUAAAAGAGAUCCAGGCAAGUCAUACUCAAUGUAAACUAACAGUAAUGAAUGCAAAUGACAGUGGUGCUCUCCAACUGCUGCUUUUUAAAUAGAUAGGCCCUUCGCAGAGGGAAGCAGGGAUUUGUAGAGGUGCCAAAGCUCAGUUUUGAAAUAGAUAUGAAUAAUAUUUUGAGCGGUAUACUUUCAUCGUCAACAUAACAACCGAGAGAUGGCGAUAUCUUCCAUGCUACACACAUUAUAGGCGGUUCCCAAACAGAAUGGUAAAGUUUAUACUCCCCCUCCACCAACAAGCAUCAAUCCAUGGCUUUCUCGAAACAACGAGUGCCUCCAACUAACAAGAGUCCCGGGGGAGUUUUGUUUGCAGUUAUUUUGAUUUGAUUUGCAUAAAGCAUGGGACUGGGCAUCCCGGUGACCAGCCAUUUUCUUGUGACUGAGGAGCGGAGUCCACUCCUCUUCAGAAUAACCCGCCUAACAUGGAAGAUACGGACAUCCCUAGUUGAUACAUGAGCUAUUUGGGCAUACAAAACAAAAUGUUUAUUUGAAGGUUUAUAGUUAGGCACAUACAAAUUUACUUGGAACGGCAGGUAGAUACCGUAUAUAGGUAGGUAUGGUGGACUCAUAUGGAAUAACUUUGGGGUUUAUGGGAUUGGAUGCACAAGCAGUAUUCCCGCUUAGUACAAGUGAAGGCUAGAAAAAGACUGGGAAGCUACCAGCUAGAGAGCCACAAUAGUCAUGAACAUGCAUUAAAAUUAAUCAACACCGAAUGCAAGCAUGAGUAGGAUAUAAUGCACCAUGAACAUAAAUAUCGUAGAGGCUACGUUGAUUUUGUUUCAACUACAUGCGUGAGCAUGUGCCAAGUCAAGCCACUCGAAUCGUUCAAAAGAGGAUACCACCCUAUCAUACCACAUCACAACCAUUUUAAUAGCAUGUUGGCACGCAAGGUAAACCAUUAUAAGCUCCUAGCUAAUUAAGCAUUGCAUAAGCAACUAUAAUCUCUAAUUGUCAUUGCAAACAUGUUUAUUCAUAAUAGGUUGAAUCAAGAACGAUGAACUAAUCAUAUUUACAAAAACAAGAGAGGUCGAGUUCAUAACAGCUUUUCUCAUCUCAAUAAGUUCAUCACAUAAUCAUCAUUAUUGCCUUUCACUUGCACGACCGAAUAGUGUGGAUAAUAAUAAUAGUGCAUGUGCAUUGGACUAAGCUAGAAUCUGCAAGUAUUCAAUUCAAGAGAGAAGAUAGGGUAAUAUGGGCGCUUUGUCAGAUCAACAAUAAUGCAUAUAAGAGCCACUCACCAUUUUCAUUAUGGUCUUCUCCUCUCGACCCCCAAAUAACAAGAAAAGAAAUAAAACUAUUUACACGGGAAAGCUCCCAACAUGCAAAAGAAGAAGGAGAAAUCUUUUUGGGUUUUCUUUUUAAUUAUUACUACUACAGCAUGAAAAGUAAACUAGCUAAAAACUACAACUAUUUUUUUUUUGUUUUUCUUAAGGUUUAUUAAACACACAAGAAGAAAGCAUAAAAAGGAAAAUAAACUAGCAUGGAUGAUACAGUGAAAAAGUAUGAGCACCGACAACUAGCAAAAAGUGUGUGAACAUGAAUGUAAUGUCGGUGAGAAAUACGUACUCCCCCAAGCUUAGGCUUUUGGCCUAAGUUGGUCUAUGGCCACGGCUGGCCUGGCGGAUAUCCAAAGUUGUAGCUGGGGUCGUAUUGAGAUGCAUCAGCUAUUACCUCGUGAGCUUCCGCUUAGAGACGGGCCGACUCUGUCCUCCUCUUGUACUCGUCCGCCUCCUCCCUGGUUAUAAUAUAUCUCCCUUUUGCCUGAGAGUCAAAGAAAGCGGGAGCAGGGAGAGCGGCAUGAUUGGUGCGUCGUCUGUCAAAGAUUAGUCGGUACUGGAGGAUCUGAUCGUUCCUCUCAACAAAUUGAUGACGAACCAUGGACACAUAAUCUAAAUAAACAGGAGGCUACUCAAUAUCAUGCCCACAUAUGGGUAUAUCAAGAAAAUUAGCUAGACGGGUUGCAUAAAUUCCGCUAAAGAAAUCUCCAUGAAAACGAUUAUUAUGCAACCUACAUGCAACGAUAGCCCCCAAGUUGUAUUAUUUAUCUCCUAAAAUAGCGCCUCUGAGAACGCUAAGAUCAGGCACACAUAUGUGACAUGCUUCAUCUUUACCAUUAAUGCAUCUACCUAUGAAGAGAGAGAAAUAUUGUAUAGCAGGAAAAUGAAUGCUCCCUAUGGUAGCUUGUGUUAUAUCUCUAGAUUCCACCACACUUAUACUAGCAAGGAAAUCUCUAAACUCAGAUUUGCGAGGCUCACUAGUGCUGCCCCAUUGUGGAAGUUUGCAAGCAGUAUUAAAAUGAGAGAAUUCCUUAUUUAACACCAUGUCUAAAUUUUAUUCCCUAUUUAACAUCGACAAAUCAUUUCUUCCCUAUCUAACAACAAGUCUAAAUUUUAUGCCUUUUAUAACACUUCUGUCCAUUUUAAGUCUAAAUGACACCUAAAAAGAGUAUUUUGCCCUCGUGUGGUAUGUUUGUGUGCUUGCAUGUGUGUCGUUGCGUGUGUGUGCACGCACGCAUGUCUGUCCUACUGUGUGUGUCCUGCUGCGCGUGUAUGUUUGCUAUUGUGUGCAUUGGCGGAGCUAAGGAAUUACCAAAGCAGUACUAAGGAAAACCCUAGUAGUAGCGCGGGGUAAUUGCUAGUAGUAGCGCGGGGGGCUGCGCUACUGCUAGGGCGCUACAGCUAACUUUUAGCAGUAGCGCUGGUGGUACCCGCGCUACUGCUACUUAUAGUAGUAAUAGCGCGGUUGCUACCCGCGCUACUACUACUUAGUUGUAGCGCGGGUCAAAGCCCCUCGCUACUACUAACUAAUUCAGAAUUAAAAAAAUCAAUUGCAGCCAUGGCGGCUGCUUCUACUCAGCGUCAUCGUCCUCUCCAUUCAUGGCUGCUACUGGUCCUGGAGGGGAUGAUGUUGUUCGUGGUGAUGGUGCUUCCCCACCCAACUUGUGCCCGCAGCUCUCGUCUACUGCUGCUACAAAAGAAGAGAAAUUUAUUAGAAAGAGGAAGAGAGAGAUAGAGAGCAGUAGGAGGAGGAACUCACCGGUGGCCGCCGGAGUUGGUGCCGACGCCCGAAACCCUAGAUGAAUCUCGGUGACCUACUGCUGCUUGUCGUGGGACCCUUGACCCAGUGAGGAGGUGCAAGUGUUUGCAUCCAUGGCGGAUCUGGCCGCCACCAUGUGGAUGACGCUCUGCUGGUUUCUCUCUCCUUCCAACAGCGGAGAAGAAGGAGGAUGGAGGGGUAGGGGAGGGGUCUGCGGGAAGAGGUCGCCAGAUUUGGAGGGGCGCCGAGGUGUGAGGCCAGCAGUGGUGGUAGGCGAGGAAGGGAAUGGCGAGUGGGAGGAGAAAGGGAAUCAGAAGAGUGUGGGUUUGGAUUUUGGCCUCCGCACGCUAUGUCUACAUAUGUCUUCAUGGGUCGAUAGUAGUAGCGCGGUUUUAUAGCCCUCGCUACUACUAUGGCAUGUCCCGGGUGGGCACAGUAGAGAUUACUUAGUAGUAGCGAGGGUUAUAAACCCGUGCUACUACUAUCAACUUAGUAGUAGCGCGGGUUUAUACCCCUCGCUACUACUAUGGCAUGUUCCGGGGGGCACGGCAGAGACCACUUAGUAGUAGCGAGGGUUAUAAACCCGCGCUACUACUAUCAACUUAGUAGUAGCGAGGGCUAUAAACCCGCGCUACUAGUAAGUAGCAGCAGCGAGGGGUAUAAACCCACGCUACUAGUAAGCGUCUGUCUAUAAGCUUUUCCCUAGUAGUGAAGCCUGGGCAUGCCACAAGUUAAAGUUUGUUUUUUUCCUACCCAAAACCACAACGUCAGUAGUAUACACUUAUACUAUACUAAAUACUGGAACUGACUAAACAGGUCCUGUUGGAGGAUCGCUGCCUUGGCCAUCGCCCUUGCGCUUCUGAUCAUGACAGUCGCUCGCCAAAGUUGAGGCCAUGCGCACGCCAUCUCUCCUCCUGAGCGCCGAUGCUCUUCAACACUCAAAACUCUGCUGGUGGUCAGUCUACCUCUGAGGCUGGAGUAGCUAGGGCACCUAAGCAAGCAAGUGAGUCGAUCAAUUAAGCUUUAAGUUUCACAAGCUGGACCAAUUUGCCUUCUGGAGAAUUUGACGAGCGCUAUGGCUAUGAGCCAUGUUAGAAAAGAGUAUAAUAAUAGGCAGGCAAAUGUCCAAAACAGGCCCAGAAAGAUUAGUUCGUACGUCUCCGGGGAAUUCUUGUGAUUUUACAGCAUAUUUAACCAAUUUUCUUGAAUGCGAAGGCUUCAGCGGCUUGCCUAAGUUCUGAUAAGUGGCGCUGACAAGCUCGGAUACAUGCCCAGGGUGCCCUGACGGUAAAAUCGUCCCUGACUGCGUGUGUAUGUGUGUGUGUUGUUGGGUGUCUGCGCUGCGUGCGUCCGUACUGCUGCCUGCAUGCUUGUGUGCGGGUGCAUGUGUGUGUGCAUGUGUUGCUGCCCUCACACUUAUGAUGCGUGUGUGCUACUGUCCCGCACACACAAUACCACGUGAGGGGCAAAAUGGUCUUUUCAGAUGUUAUUUAGGCUCAAAAUGGAUGAAAGUGUUAUAAAAGGCAUAAAAUUUAGACUCAUUGUUAGAUAGGGAAGAAAAAAAUUUAGUGUUAAAUAAGGAAACAAUAUUUAAGAUAGUGUUAAAUAAGGAAUUGUUUCUAUUAAAAUUCUCUAUGUCCAUAGUAUAAGAAUUUUCAUAAAGAUCAAACAGGACAGUUUGAGAAUUGCGUGAUGAUGAAAAUUCAAACCUCCUCACAAAGGAAUCAGUGAGAUAGUGGUACUGGCAACACUUAUCUGCCUCGAAGCUCUCAAGAUCAACAUUACACACAUAUGCGUUAAAUUCUUCCUUGAUUCCUGCUCGAUCCAUAAAGUCCUCUGAAGGCCAUUCACAAGCCCGCACUUGAGCUUCCCUCAGUGGUUCAUCAUUGGCAUCGCGUAUUGCGAGCCUGGGUCCUUCCUUCCUUGAAGGGCCACCUUGGUACAUUUUCCUAAACAUAUUUUUUCCACUGAAAAAUUUCUAAAAUUUUAGUAACUUCAAAAUAAAAGUGAAGCAAACUCAACAAUAUUGAUAGCAACUACUCCUACAAGUGCCUAGAGGCAAUAUCAUGCAUCAAAACUACUUUUGACCACAUAAAUUUGACAUGCAAGCUCAAGAACAGGGUCACCUAAGCAGCAAAAAUAUGCAAUGAAUAAAGCUUUAAUACCUUUUUAUUCCAUAGAUUUCUUUGCCUCUUGCAUAUCUUCAGGACUGAGAAAUAGAAUACCCAUUUUCCUCAGGGUUGGUUUAGGAGUUGAUUUAGGAAUUGGAUUAGGAAGUGUCCAAUUAUUUUCAUUAGUCAACAUAUUAUUCAAUAGAAUUUCAGCUUCUUCUGGUGUUCUUUCCCUGAAAACACAACCAACACAACUAUCCAGGUGGUCUUUGGAAGCAUCAGUUAGUCCAUUAUAAAAGGUAUCAUGUAUUUCAUUUUUCUUAAGAGGAUGAUCAGGCAAAGCAUUAAGUAAUUGGAGAAGCCUCCCCCAAGCUUGUGGGAGACUCUCUUCUUAAAGUUGCACAAAAUUAUAUAUUCCCUUAAAGAAGCUUGUUUCUUAUGAGAGGGGAAAUAUUUAGCAGAGAAGUAAUAAAUCAUAACCUGGGGACUACGCACACAACCAGGAUCAAGAGAAUUAAACCACAUCUUAGCAUCACCCUUUAAUGAGAACGGAAAUAAUUUAAGGAUAUAAUAAUAGCGAGUUUUCUCGUCAUUAGUGAACAGGGUGGCUAUAUCAUUUAAUUUAGUAAGAUGUGCCACAACAGUUUCAGAUUCAUAGCCAUAGAAAGUAUCUGAUUCAAACAAAGUAAUUAUCUCAAGAUCAACAGAGAAAUCAUAAUCCUUAUCAGUAACAAAGAUAGGUGAAGUAGCAUAAGCAGGACCAUAUUUCAUUCUAGCAUUCAGAGUUUUUUUCUUUUAGCUUAGCUAAUAAUUUCUUAAGAUCACUCCUAUCAUUGCAAGCAAGAAAAUCUCUAGCAGUUUCUUCAUCCAUAACAUCCCUCAGGCACAACAGGUAAUUCAUAUCUAGGGGGGCAGUCUUCAUCAUCACUUUCAUCAAUAUUAUCAGUUUCAAUAAUUUCAUUCUCUGUAGCCCUAGCAAGUUGUUCAUCAAGAAAUUCACCAAGUGGCAUAGUAGUAUUAAGCAUAGAAGUAGUUUCAUCAUAAGUAUCAUGCAUAGCAGAAGUGGCAUCAUCAAUAACAUGCGACAUAUCAGAAUUAAUAGCAGGAGCAGGUUUAGGUGUCGCAAGCUUACUCAAAAUAGAAGGUGAAUCAAGUGCACAGCUAGAUGGCAGUUCCUUACCUCCCCUCGUAGUUGAGGGAUAAAUCUGGGUUCUUGGAUCUUUGAAGUUCUUCAUAAUGACAAGGAGAUAUAAAUCCCAAGUGACUCAAAGAAUAUAGCUAUGCUCCCCGGCAACGGCUCCAGAAAAUAGUCUUCAUAACCCACAAGUAUAGGGGAUCGCAACAGUUUUCGAGGAUAGAGUAUUCAACCCAAAAUUAUUGAUUUGACACAAGGGAAACCAAAGAAUAUUCUCAAGUAUUAGCAGCUGAGUUGUCAAUUCAACCACACCUGGAAACUUAAUAUCUGCAACAAAGUGUUUAGUAGCAACGUAAUAUGAUAGUAGUGGUAACGGUGGUAAAAGUUAACGAUAGCAAAAGUAAUAUUUUUGGUGUUUUGUAGUGAUGAUAACAAUAGCAACGGUAAAGUAAAUAAGCGAAGAACAAUAUAUGGAAAGCUCGUAGGCAUUGGAUCGGUUAUAGAGAAUUAUGCCGGAUGCGGUUCAUCAUGUAACGGUCAUAACCUAGGGUGACACAGAACUAGCUCCAGUUCAUCAAUGUAAUGUAGGCAUGUAUUCCGAAUAUAGUCAUACGUGCUUAUGGAAAAGAACUUGCAUGACAUCCUUUGUCCUACCCUCUCGUGGCAGCGGGGUCCUAGCGGAAACUAAGGGAUAUUAAGGCCUCCUUUUAAUAGAUUAUCGGAACAAAGCAUUAACACAUAGUGAAUACAUGAACUCCUCAAACUACGGUCAUAACCGGUAAGUAUCCCGAUUAUUGUCUUGCAAGAUAAUAACACAUAAUAGGUGACUAUAGACUUGUAAGAUAGGAUCAAGAACUCUCAUAUAUUGAUGAGAACAUAAUAGGUUCAGAUCUGAAAUCAUGGCACUUAGGCCCUAGUGACAAGCAUUAAGCAUAGCAAAGUCAUAGCAACGUCAAUCUCAGGACAUAGUGGAUAGUAGGGAUCAAACCUAACAAAACUAACCCGAUUACAUGAUAAAUAUCAUCCAACCCAUCACCGUCCAGCAAGCCUACGAUGGAAUUACUCAUGCACGGCGGUGAGCAUCAUGAAAUUGGUGAUGGAGGAUGGUUGAUGAUGACGAUGGCGACGGAUUCCCCUCUCCAGAGCCUCAAACGGACUCGAGACCAGCCCUCCCAAGAGAGUUUAGGGCUUGGCGCCAGCUACGUAUCGUAAAACGCAAUGAAUCCUUCUCCCUACUUUUUUUCUCCCCGAAAGUGAAUAUAUGGAGUCACGGUUGAGGUCGGUGGAGCGUCAGGGGGCCCACGAGGCAGGGGCGCGCCCAGGGGGUUGGACGUGCCCCCACCCUCUUGGACAGGUGGAGGCCCCCUGACAUGGAUCUUCCUUCCAGUAUUUUUUAUAUAUUCCAAAAUAAUUCUCCAUUGAUUUUUAGGUCAUUCCGAGAACUUUUCUUUCCGCACAAAAAUAAUACCAUGGCAAUUUUGCUGAAAACAGUGUCAGUCCGGGUUAGUUCCAUUCAAAUCAUGCAAGUUAGAGUUCAAAACAAGGGAAAAAGUGUUUGGAAAAGUAGAUACGACGGAGACGUAUCAAUGCACUGGUAAGAUUUGGAGAGCGAGAGAUGAAAGCUGUGAAUAAAUGAUUCUGAGAUGAUGGGCUCCAGAGAAUCAAACGGAAAAGACUUCUGAAUUGCUCCGGAUGGGUGAAAAUAAUUCUCAUGAUCGAAAACAAUUAUGAGAGGAUGGCAUAAAGCUAGAACUACAACCAUGAAUCUUCAAGAGAAUGGACAAGAUUUAAGAGAAACUCUUCUUCAGUGACGACAAGAACCACCCGUAAAUUAUUGAGACACUCCAGAAUGAAGAAUAUAAUUGUUGAACCAACAAUGAAAAUAAUUUGAAAGCGAUCUAGGAGAAGGCAUGUGACUGAUGAAAAUUUAUUCUUACGUCCAAUUUGAGAAUGACUCUGGAAAAAAAUUAGAAGAGUCAGGUAAGAUCCUGGGAAAAGACCUGUGGGUUGUGGUCCCACUUGAAAGAAACACCGUUGAACAAUUACUUGAAAGGGAGAGUGCACCGAUUGAAUUAAAUGCUUUGAUUGAGAUAACAACCACUAAAUAGAACAAACGGAUCUUGAAUGGAAAUGUGAAUCUUCAGAGAUAUCUUCAGUAUUCUGGAGCAAAUGAAUAGCAAGAGGUGAAUGAUUAAGAGGUGCACCAGCAUGAAAAAGCAUUUGAAAUAAGGAAAUAGAUAUGAUCAACAUCGAAAGCUUGUAUUUAGCCCCCGUAGAAGAAAAGAGAACAAAGAAUAAUAAACUUGUAGCUUACUUAGCAUCUUCACGUGAAAUCACCGGAUAAGAACAUUGAAGGAAAAUAAUGAAGAGACUUCACACGAAUAAAAGGAUACAUGAUUUGAGAAUUCUGAGUCCUAGAAGAAAAAGGGGUGGGAGGGCGGGAAAACAAAGGCAACUUGGGGAAAGAUGAAACAAACACCGUUGCGAAGAACUAAGAAUUGAUCUAGCAAAUAUUGAAAGGAUAGGAUUAACUUGAAGAGAAGCACGCCGGUUGGAAACAAUUGACAUGAUAACCUCAAUGAUCAAGAAGGAUUAGCACUCCCAUAGAAAUAUGAGAAAACCAUUAAGGGAAGGUAUGGAUCAACACUUGACAUCGAAGCAACUCGAAUACCAAAAAUAAAACAAAACAAAGGAUUGGCUUGCAGAAUAAGAAGGAAACAAAUACAUAACCCCUCAUGCAUUUGUUGGAAGGAUAUCCUAGGCAACUACUUGAAUUCCCACCUAAGAACUCCCGAAACUUUCUGGUUAUGCAAUCUAGUGUUGGGGAUACACGGAGGCACAAAUAUCUCACACAACUAACAAUCCUACACUCCAAUUGUAUCCAUCCGUCAACACAUAACCAAGAAAACCUCGGAAACCGUGUACCUCAGACCUUCAAAAACAUCCGAUAUACUAGAUGUGGCAAUACAUCUGAUCACUCUCCCCAGUACUGGGUGACGCCAAACUACUCUUGCCACAAAGAGUAUAGAAGCAUUUUUUAUGUCAGCCUGCUCUGGUAUUCCGCACUGAAACGAUAAGCACUGUGACAAAAACACCUUGGAGCUCAACUCCCCGGGACACUACCACAACCCCUAAAUGUUAGGAGGCCCCAUGUGAUGCCCCUUAUUCAAUCAUACACUAAUCAUGCAUGCAAACGUGUACGAUCAAGAUUAGGGACUCAUGGGAAGAUAUCGCAACACAACUCUAAAAACAAAUAAGUCUUACAAGCUUCAUAAUAAAAGCCAUAGGCCUCGAGGCCUUGAAUACAAGUGCUCGAUCAUAGACAAGUCAGCGGAAGCAACAAUAUCUGAGUACAAACAUAAGUUAAACAAGUGACCAUAAGAUUGCUAGCACAAACUGGGAUGCAGAUCGAAAGAGGCGCAUGCCUCCUGCCUGGGAUCCUCCUAAACUACUCCUGGUCAUCGUCGGUGGCCUGCACGUAGUAGUAGGCACCCUCGGUGUAGUAUGAGUCGUCGAAGGUGGCGUCUGAAUCCUGGGCUCCAGCAUCUGGUUGUGACAACCGAGAAGAAUGGAAAGGGGGAAAAGAGGGAUAAAAGAAACCAUGAGUACUUGCAAGCAAGGAUCUACACUACAUAUGCAUUAGUAUCAUUGGAAUGGGUAGUAUCUGUGGACUGAAUUGUAGAAUGCCAGAAUAAGAGGGGGAUAUCUAUUCCUGUCGAAGACUACGCUUCUGGCAGCCUCCAUCUUGAAGCAAUAGAAGAGAGCAGAUGGUAAGUUAACCAAGUAUCAUCGCAUAGCAUAAUCCUACCUGGCGAUUGUCUCCUUGUCGCCCUGUAAGAGAGCGAUCACCGGGUUGUAUCUGGCACUUGAAAGGGUGUGUUUUAUUAAGUAUCCAGUUCUAGUUGUCAUGAAGUCGAAGUACAACUCCGGUUCGUCCCUUUACCGAGGGACACGACUAUUCGAAUAGAUAAACUUCCGUGCAGGGGUGCACCACACAGUACCCCACACGCUAGAUCCCUUAGCACUAGUAGAAAAAACCCCAUUCGUCCUGGUUGAUAAGGGCCAUUUGUCCCGGUUUGUGAACCGGGACUAAAGGGUCGUUACUAAUGCCCUAACCCAUUAGUCCCAGCUCUUACAUGAAUCGGGAUAGAUGGGCCUCCACGUGGCCGGUGCGCCGAGCCCAGGCAGGAGGGCCUUUGGUCCCGGUUGGUGUCACCAACCGGGACCAAUAGGCAUCCACGCGUCAGCAUUUCAGGGGCUGGGGUUUUUGUUUUUUUUGAAAGGGGGGUGGGUUGGGGGUUUUGGGGGUUUAAUUUAGGUGUUUCAUAUAUUGUGUUAGCUAGCUAAUUAAUAGAGAGAAGUGUCCUCUCUUAUGUCCUUGCUUGGAUGACACUAUAUAUACGUAUAUAUAGAGAGGAGUAGACACGCUAGCUAGUAAGCAAAUAAAGGAAAUAGAAGAUCGUCAUGAACAUAUGCAUACAUAGAGAAGUGAUAUCGACCACCUCUCCUUCUCCGAGAGAUUGGUCAAACAACAAGUUCUCGUAUAUCUAUCCGACACUACCGGCUACAUAUAUACAGUAAUUAUCUCUUACAGUAUAAUCUCCUAAUUAUAUAUGAACACAGGGUCCACAUAGUAUUCUCCGUCUUCAGCGAUCACGUGGUCAAGGAAGAAUGCCGCCAAUUCCUCUUGAAUUGCUCGCAUACGAUCUGGUGCUAGGAGUUCAUCCCGCAUCCGAAACAUCUAAUUUGAACAAGGGGGUCAAUACAUAUAUAUAUGAAUAAAUGAAACUCAACACAAAUGAUGGUAAUAAAAUAAAAUUGUGAAUAUUAUUGCUUACGCACUUCAUAUUGUUCGUCAGAGUACCCUCGUUCACAGGUCGUGUGGCGGAUGGACUCGCAAACGUAGUAUCCACAGAAAUCAUUCCCUUGUUCCAGCCACAACCACUUUACAGGAAAUAGAGGUCAAUCAAACUGAUAAGCAAGCAUGCCAAAUGGUAUUGAUGAAACUAGCGCUUAAAUCACUAGGAGAUGCGCGGAACAUGUUACUAUAGUACUUACUUUCGGGUGUCUAAAUUGCAGCUUCUUCGGCAGUCCCGGAGCUUUUUUGGUGAAUUUUCUCCAAACCCUGCCAGACAAAGAAAACAAUUAUUUGAUAUAUCAGGAAAUGAACAAAGUUGCUGAUAUGGUGGAUAAUGAUCGAUUUAACUUACUUCUCGAGCAUUUGAGUCAUGUCCGCAUACUCCUGGGAUCUUUUCGCCUCGAGUCUAAGAUGGUUACUAGUCCCUGCUCAAGCUUAAUCUCUAGGAGAAUAUAGUGGAACCUGUGCACACAUGCAUAACUCAUCAAUUACAUUACUAUAACCUGGACUAAUAAGGGAAACCGAAUAUGCACAAGAUAGUAACACUCACUUGAAGUUGUAAGGAAAGAGUAUUAUAUCUUUGUUUUCAUUUAUUACCAAUGAUCAUAGCAAGUUGGUCUCGGUAUCUUCGGCAUGAUAUUUAACCUCAGUUGCAUCUAUGAGAUUUGUGUUAAUGAACCCAAUAUCACCAAUUUGUCUUUUCUUCAAUUCAGCGAUCUUCAGUCUGCAUAAUAUAGUGAGGAUAAUUAUAAAUACAUGCAAUGAAAGAGCUGACCUAUAUAGAGAGACUUAAUGACAAAAGUAGUACUACUUACAGAUAGUAGCAAGUGACCGUUGCUCCUUCGAGGGCCUUUUGAUUGAAAAACUGGAAGAACUCCUCAAAUGGAACAUUCAACAGUUCAAUUCCAAUGAGGUCAUGCUCCUCUCUAAGUCUCAGCGUCAAAGUAUUCCUCCUCCCAGACUCUCUGCAGGUUUUCAUGUAUCAAUCAUGGAAUCUUCGCAUCAUCGUUGUUAGAGAUCUUUCAUCUUUGACGAGAGGCUUCCCGUACUCGUAUUUGUGUUCCUCCACCUCCAAGAACUCAUAAUGUACAUUGUCGGGCAGGUAAUCUCCAAGAUUGCUAUAACCGGGCACCAUCCUCGGAUCAUUAGUACGCACCUUAAGCGGGGGGCACGAUUGGUUCGCUUCUUCGCCGAGCUGGGGAAAUUUUCUCCUAGCUCGUCGUUCUUUUAACCUUUGAUCACUGAUAGUACUUCCCGACCGCUCCGCUUCGACAAAUGACUUUGCAAUAAUGCGGUCAUAGUUGCCUUUCGGUGGAGACUUUGCUGGUUUUUUCAGGGCAGCCAGAGUGCGCUUCGCUUUCACCGGAUCUACCUUCUCCUCCGGAGGUGGAUUUUUCUUUGCUUUCACCCCUUUGAAGAAGUUCCUCACUUCAGCUCACGCGAUCUUGGCGUUCUCCUCCGGGUUCCUCUCGUAUGGUAACUUCUCUAGAGUCUUCAGAGAAGGACCGAAUCUGUAUUACCUCCCGCCUCUGGCUAUACUGCUAGACACCGGCAAAGCAGAUGGAGCGGUUACGGCUGUCUUCUUCCCUUGCUUACGAGGCGGAGGAGAAGGACUAUGACGCGUCGGAGCAGCCGGAGCGACGGCGGGUCUCUUUCGCCCUUGCUGACGAGGCAGAGAAGAAGGAGGUUGGCUGCUCGGGCGCGGCGGCGUAGGCGGAGAAGGAGGCGGAGUGCCGCCACGCGCCGGAGAAGGAGGCUGAGUGCCCUGAUCACUCGCCGGAGGAGGAGGCGGAGUGCCCUGACUCGUCGUCGUCGGAGGAGGAGGAGGCGGAGGUGUCCAGUUCAGAAGCUUGAUGAGCUCCUUCCGCCAUAGGCAUGGAGUCAAUAGACAAGAACCCAGCCGAGUCUCCCCUUCACCGGUAGGGUAGUCAAGCUGGAGGUCCUCAAAUCCCUCUGGUAUUUCUUCCAUCGUCACCCCGUCAUAUCCUUCUGGACUCGGACUACAGUGAAAAGUUGCGCCGGGUUCAGUAGGUCAAACAGAGCCAACAGCCGCCCUGACUUUGAAGUUCUACCAUUGCGUCAUAAGGUGGCAAUGUUGAGACUCCGUGAUAGCAUCCACGGGGUAGCUAGCAGGAACCGUCAAGACAUGCUCCGGCUGAAGCAGCUCGGUGGAAGCCACGCUGCUUCUCCGCUGAGAUGGCGGGGUAGCUUCGGGUGUAGUUUCGGCUGGUUGCUUGUCGCGAGCUACUUCGUGUUCCUCUAGCGCUUGAACCCUUUCAUGGAGCGUCUGAAUUUGGGCAUGCUCCACUUUUUUCCUCCUCUCCUACAAUUUGUAACCGCCUGUGUCUGGAAAACCAACAUUCCACGGAACGGAGCCCGGCGUGCCUCGUGUCCGUCCAAGGUGCUCAGGAUUCCCGUGGGCCAUUGUGAGCUCGUCAUUCUCUCUGUCUGGAACGAACGUCCCUUGCUGUGCUACAUCGAUAUAGUGCUUUAGCUUCUUGACUGGUAUGCUCAUUUGCUCGUCCGUCCAAACGCAUUUCCCUGAUACAGGGUCCAAGGUUCCGCCAGCCCCGAAGAACCAAGUCCGGCAACGGUCUGGCCAGUUCAUUGUCUUUGGUUUGAUCCCUUUAUCAAGCAGAUCAUUCUCAGCCUUGGCCCACUUAGGCCGGGCGUUGAGGUAGCCACCUGACCCCAUGCGAUGAUGAAGCUUCUUCUUUGCAGCAUUUUUCUUGUUUGUCGCCGACAUCUUCUUACUCUUUUCUGAUGUCUUGUAGGCCACAAAUGCGGGCCACUGAUCUCUAAUCUUCUCAUAUAUGCUGAUGAAUUCUGGUGUCUCUUCUUUGUCGACAAAUUUUUUUAGCUCAUUCUUCCACCUCCUGAAUAGGUCUGCCAUCUUCUUAAGAGCAUGAGACUUGAUUAAUUUCUCCUUAACAGGCUUCUCCGGAUCCUCCUCUAGCGGUAGGGUGAAAUUUUCCUUCAGCUCAUUCCAAAGAUCAUCUUUCUGCAUAUCAUUGACAUAAGACACCUCAGGGUCUUCGUUCUUAGGCUUACACCAUUGCUGGAUGCUGAUCGGGAUCUUGUCCCUAACAAGAACCCCGCACUGAGCAGAAAAUGCUUCCUUUGUCCGGAUGGGUUCAAUCGGCAUGCCAUCGCGCGCGAUUUCUGUGAUCUCAAACCUUUCAUACGAGCGCAACUUUUUCUUCGGGCCUCGUCUCUUUACCGAAGUUGUGCUCGAUCCGGAUGGCUAGAAAAAAGAAGAAUUAGACGAGAGUUAAUUAAUAUGUGGACAUACCAAAACAAUGAAUGCAUCAAUUUUAGCUAGUCAUCACAUGCUUAACUAAUAUAUUUACCUACCCAGACUCUGUUCGGUCACCGGAGCAGUCACCACGGGCUCCGUCUUGCACCAGCAUUGGGUCACAGGAGCCAUCAUAAUCAUUUCUUUCCUCCUCCACUCUUCGAUCACGGUAGCCUGCUUCUUCUUCACCUUGUUCUGCUUCCAGACCAUCAUUAUCGUUAAGAUACGACAUGACAUCACCUCCGGCUAAGAUUAUGUCCCCAACACAUGUUCUUGUUCCUCGUCUCGUCCGAACUCCAUUGUUUCUGCAAAUAUUACAACAUGGCAAUUAUUACACAAACAUGACAGGAGGGGGUUAUAUCGACAACGACGACAUACAUACAUGGGAAAAUAAUGUUAUCAGGGAGGGGGUAGGUCGAACCACCCCCCUCGUGUUGAAGUUAUCGGGACACGGGGUAUAUCGACAAUGACAUAUUCGAUAAAAAUAAGAAGAUGAAGAAGAAAUAAAGAGGAGAAGAAGGUAUUAAUAGAGGAGAAGAUUGAAGAAAAAAAAGAAGAAAAAAAGAGGAGAAGAAGAUAUUAAUAGAGGAGAAGAUUGAAGAAAAAAAGAAGAAGAAAAAAAGAAGAGAAGAAGAAAGAAAUAGAGGAGAAGAAGAGAAAAUAGAAUAUCUAUUUUCUCUUCUUCUCCUCUUCUUUUUCUUCCUUUUUCUUCUUCUUAUUUAUUUCUCCUCUUCUUCCUCUCCUCUUCUUCUCCUUUCUUCCUCUUCUUAUUUUCCUUUUUCCUCUCAUUCUUUUUCUUCAUCUUCCUUUCAUAGCUAGAUAUAUAAAACUUUUCUAAAGAUGUAACUUUUGCAUACAUACAUGGGAAAAUAAUAUUAUUGGGGAGGGGUAGGUCGAACCCCCCCCACCCUCCUGUUCAAGUUAUCGGGACACGGGGUAUGUCGACAACGACAUAUCCGAUAAAAAAUAAGAAGACGAAGAAGAAAUAAAAAGAGGAGAAGAAGAUAUUAAUAGUGGAGAAGAUUGAAGAAAAAAAAGAAGAAAAAAAAAGAGGAGAAGAAGAAAGAAAUAGAGGAGAAGAAGAGAAAAUAGAAUAUUCUAUUUUCUCUUCUUGUCCUCUAUUCCUUUCUUCUUCUCCUCUUCNNNNNNNNNNNNNNNNNNNNNNNNNNNNNNNNNNNNNNNNNNNNNNNNNNNNNNNNNNNNNNNNNNNNNNNNNNNNNNNNNNNNNNNNNNNNNNNNNNNNNNNNNNNNNNNNNNNNNNNNNNNNNNNNNNNNNNNNNNNNNNNNNNNNNNNNNNNNNNNNNNNNNNNNNNNNNNNNNNNNNNNNNNNNNNNNNNNNNNNNNNNNNNNNNNNNNNNNNNNNNNNNNNNNNNNNNNNNNNNNNNNNNNNNNNNNNNNNNNNNNNNNNNNNNNNNNNNNNNNNNNNNNNNNNNNNNNNNNNNNNNNNNNNNNNNNNNNNNNNNNNNNNNNNNNNNNNNNNNNNNNNNNNNNNNNNNNNNNNNNNNNNNNNNNNNNNNNNNNNNNNNNNNNNNNNNNNNNNNNNNNNNNNNNNNNNNNNNNNNNNNNNNNNNNNNNNNNNNNNNNNNNNNNNNNNNNNNNNNNNNNNNNNNNNNNNNNNNNNNNNNNNNNNNNNNNNNNNNNNNNNNNNNNNNNNNNNNNNNNNNNNNNNNNNNNNNNNNNNNNNNNNNNNNNNNNNNNNNNNNNNNNNNNNNNNNNNNNNNNNNNNNNNNNNNNNNNNNNNNNNNNNNNNNNNNNNNNNNNNNNNNNNNNNNNNNNNNNNNNNNNNNNNNNNNNNNNNNNNNNNNNNNNNNNNNNNNNNNNNNNNNNNNNNNNNNNNNNNNNNNNNNNNNNNNNNNNNNNNNNNNNNNNNNNNNNNNNNNNNNNNNNNNNNNNNNNNNNNNNNNNNNNNNNNNNNNNNNNNNNNNNNNNNNNNNNNNNNNNNNNNNNNNNNNNNNNNNNNNNNNNNNNNNNNNNNNNNNNNNNNNNNNNNNNNNNNNNNNNNNNNNNNNNNNNNNNNNNNNNNNNNNNNNNNNNNNNNNNNNNNNNNNNNNNNNNNNNNNNNNNNNNNNNNNNNNNNNNNNNNNNNNNNNNGUUCGGCGAGGAAGGGGGCGGGGCAGGGCGUCGGCGACGAUGGGGGUGCGCGGCCCGGGGCGCGCGACGCACAUCGGGGCAGGGCGGCGAUCGGUGACGGCCUUGGGCGAGGGCACGGGCGAUGGCGAGCGGGCGGCGACGGCAACCUCGAGCGGCUAGGGGAGGCGACGGCGACGUCGGGGCAGGGGCCGACAUCGAGGAGCAGCGCGGCAGCCUGGCGGCGUUGGAGAGAAGAAUGGCGGGUGGGGGGGGGAUUUCUGCAGCCCAAAGGGCGGGAAGUGGCGGCCUUUGGUCCCGGUUGGUAGCACCAACCGGGACUAAAGGGUGGCAUUGGUCCCGGUUGAUGCCAUGAACCGGUACCAAUGCACCCCUUUAGUCUCGGUUGGUGGCACCAACCGGGAUAAUUGAAGAUGAGGAUGACUGUCGGUGUCAAAACCGGCGGAUCUCGGUUAGGGGGUCCCGAACUGGGCGUCCAGGAUGGAUGGUAACAGGAGGCAGGAGACACGAUGUUUUACCCAGGUUCGGGCCUUCUUGAUGGAGGUAAAACCCUACGUCCUGCUUGAUUAAUAUUGAUGAUAUGGGUAGUACAAGAGUAGAUCUACCACAAGAUCAGAGAGGCUAAACCCUAGAAGCUAGCCUAUGGUAUGAUUGUAUGUUGUGAUUGUUGUCCUACGGACUAAAACCCUUCGGUUUAUAUAGACACCAGAGAGGGUUAGGGUUACACAAGGUCGGUUACAAAGGAGGAGAUAUCCAUAUCCGUAUUGCGUAGCUUGCCUUCCACGCCAAGUAGAGUCCCAUCCGGACACGAGACGAAGUCUUCAAUCUUGUAUCUUCAUAGUCUAACAGUCUGGCCAAUGGAGAUAGUCCGGCUAUCCAGAGACCCCCUAAUCCAGGACUCCCUCAGUAGCCCCUGAACCAGGCUUCAAUGACGAUGAGUCCGUCGCGCAGUAUUGUCUUCGGCAUUGCAAGGCGGGUACCUUCUCCGAUUACAUCACAGAAGAAUUUGAAUACGAGGAUAGUGUCCGAACCUGCAAAAUAAGUUCCACAUACCGCCGUAGAGAGAAUAAUAUUUUCGCAAUUCCAAUUUGCUGACUUGUUUUGGUAGCAUGACGUUAUGUCAUGGCCCGGUGAUUAUUCGAACCAUUUUUCUUCAACCAGCUCCACACAUAACGCGAGGCGGUUUCUUGACACGUCUUGUCAAAGCAGAGAUCGUGUUCCCCCAAUUAUGGGAUUCUCAUUAAUGCGGUCAUGGGUAACCCAACCGUGUCUAGGACUCCUAGAUUAUAGGCAAGUCCUUAAUGGCUACGGAGGGGACGCUUGAUAUUCACCCUCUUUAUAAAGGGACAAGGUUUUCGCUUUUUCCCUCUCGUGCUCAAUCAAACCCUUCCCUCACCUUUAUUUCCAACCCCCAAAGCCCAGGUUAGGUGCUCCGGAUCUUCAAUCAUGUCUGGAUCCAGCCUUCAAGGCCGAUGGAUGCCCUCCUCCGUGAUGGAAGAGGACAUCAAGAAGUAGAGGGAGGCCAGAUACCUGACCACCGAGGUUUCGCAUGGGCUUCCUACUCAAGGGCAGGUUGUCCCUACUCCCGAACCCAACGAGAACGUCGUGUUCGUUUCCCACUUCCUCAGAGGCCUAGGCCUCACUUUGGAUCCCUUCGUCAGGGGUUUGAUGUUCUAUUACGGGCUAGAUUUCCAAGAUCUAGCUCCGGACUCCUUUCUCCACAUCUCGACAUUUAUUUUUGUGUGUGAGGCCUUCCUCCGCAUUACCCCUCACUUCGGCCUGUGGCUCAAGACCUUUGAAGUGAAGCCGGAGAUGAUUGAGGGGAAACAUGCAGCGUGCGGAGGUGCAUCAAUAGGCAAGAUGGCAGGAGCUCCAUGGCCGAAAGGUUCCUUUCCAGAGGUAUCCGAAUUAUGGCAACGGGAGUGGUUUUACGUCACAGCUCCUAGAAGUGCCAAGUGGGCAGCUGCCCCCGCUUUCUGCUCGGGCCCCUCACCAUGACUAAUGUCAUGGAUUAGCAGAGGUCUGAGCUGGGGUCCAGCCAAGGACAUGCCUAUACUGCAAAGCCGCAUUCGAGAUCUCUUCGAGGGAGAUUUUAAUUUGGUCGUGGUAAUGCAAGUUAUGCUGGUUCGUCGAGUCCAGCCUUGCAAACGCUGGCCCCUUCGCUUGUGGGAGUUCAACCUAGAAGGACCGCGUGCUAUUCAAAGUUUCCUUGGCCUGACGUACGAGGAGAUGUACAAGUCACUCUUCGGACCUCAAAUAGAGUGUCCAGAUACUACCGAGGACGUGGGCCUGGGCAGUAACUGCACCGCCAAACAAGUAAGAAAUCCUCUAGCCAAACACACCACCUUUUAUUCAUCAUGAAGUUAUUUCUGAGAGAUUGCUCUUUGACCAGGACUGGCUAACCAAGGCGAAGAUGAUUCGGUGUUCAGCCCCCCUCCCUGAGGGUUUGGGAAAUCCGGUAUUGGAAAAGAUGCUCGAGCUCGCACCUUGCCCGGAGCCCUCGAAGGAAGAUACAGGGGGGAAUAAUAUGGGCGGAAGCGGGGCCCCAUCGCUGCCAGUUCCAACCGAGGGAAUGAGCGCCUCCUUAAAGGAGGAUAACCGGGGGAGGAAGAGGACUGCUUCCGAGGAUCCGGAAGCCGAGGCCUCCAAACGAGAGAAGAAGUCUCUAACAGAGGGCCCUGCCUCUGGGGGUGCUCUUGCCGUACAAAGUCCGCGGGGGGAUCAGCCCUCCAAUGAGUCGUAAGUGAUCCAAAAAAUACUUUAAAAGUAAAGGUAUAUUAUCUUUCUUCUGAGAAAAUAACCGCCGCAUAUAUCUUGCAGUUCGGGUCUUAGCCCUUCUUAGCUGAGCUCGUCUUCGGGGGAUCUUCUUCCGGAGAUGAUGGAAAGCGAAACGCCUCCCCCGGACUCCUCCGCUCAAGAAGCGGGCAACCCCGAAGUGUCGUCACGGAGGGCCUCUCCGGAUCCGGUGAGGCCAGAAGAUAAUCCCAUAGACCCCCAAAGUCCCCAGCGUCCGGCUCCCGAAGAGAGCAAACAAAAGAGUCCGGCACCGUAUGGUAUGCGGUCGGACAUUCUGAGGGAGCUGUUGGGGCGAGCGGCCAUCUCAGAAGAACACCGUACGCUGAUGGGUUCGGUGAUGGAAAUAAUUUCGUCCGCCAAAAGCGGAUUACAUGAAGCCUUUAUGAGUCUACUGACAGGCUUUCACGUACAUGAAAUAAUAUGUGAUAGUACCACACAUGUUAGGUGUGCCAUGUGUAGAUAGUAGCCCUUGAGACUCUGGUUGUCAUCGGGAACGGCGGCGAAUAGAGGAUUAUAGUCUCAGGAAAUAACCAGACUGCCUUUAUUUGCAGGUGGUGGAAGCUCCGGUGGCUAGCCGGACUAGUGAGUUUGCUAAAUUAAAACGACAACUGGAUGCGGCAGACGCCGACAUCGAGCUUGUUAACAAGCGGCUUGACGAAUCACAGGGUAAGUAAUGUUUUCUGGUGAAUGUCACACAAUAAGAGCAGCAUGAUGCCAGUAUCUUUAGUAUGUUGUGACUGCAGACGGAGCUGCCACCGUGGAGACCCUUCGGGCGGAACUCGCCCGAGCCAAGGAACAAGCGAGGGUUAGUAAUGCGGCUACUUUGAAGGCGGCCGAAGAGUUAAGAGCUGAGAAGGCCGCUCAUUGUGAAAGCAAAGAAAGGAUGUCCAAGUUGGCCGUAGAAUUAAAAGGCACUGCCGACCGUUGCUAGUUCCUUGAAGAAGAGAACCGAGUGAAGGCAGUGGACCUUGAGAAGGCCACUAUGGCGACCAAAGACAGUCGCUCUGCUAUGAGGGCGAAGAAGGAGGAGCUGCGCGAAGCCGAGGAUAUUGCGGCUGGGAAGCCCUUUCUGCUGCGGAGGAAGUUCGAAGAUCCGCGAUAUGCCCCUCUAGAUCGGCUGUGGAGUUCGGCAGACGCAUAUAUGGACUUGGCGGCAAGCGCUGUCGAUGCGGUCGAAUACUUCCAAGAUCAAUCAGAUCGUGAAGUGGACAAGCUAUUCUGGUCGCAAUUCAAUGUUCCAGAGCGUUUGCUUCCCUUAACUGAUCAGCUAGCCGAAUGGGCCGAACUUAAUAGGUUGUCCGGACUCGCCAUGAGGUCUGUUGUAGAUCAUUUGUGGCCGGAGAAGCCGAAGCCGAACAACUAUUUUAGCUUAGUGCAGCAGUUCCUUGGUGCGGUGCCGCGCAUCAACGCGAUGAAGAGGUCGGCGUGCAUAGAAGGCUCACGGAUGGCCUUUGCCCGUGUCAAGGCAUACUAGGCGGAGAUGGAUGCUACCACUGUUGCGGCGCAAGGUUCGGGCAUAGGCCGAGUAGCUGCCGAGCACUAUUUUAAAGAGGUUCUUAAGGGUGCUCGUUUGAUAGAGUCCCAGUGCUCGAAGAAUAUUAUGUUUGAAUGACAUGUAUUCCCAUUGUAAACACAAUGUUUUUAUGAAAUAUAGUAAGGCUGUAUUUAUACUUUUGCCAGAAAGUAAUGUGAUGCCUCCCGUGCGGCCGUUUGUGUAUACAUGUAUAUAACCUGAAAGAUUGCAGUCGUCGGCUUCAACCCCCACGCAUAUAAUGCGGAGGUGCUCGCAAAAAACGUGUGUUCACACUUAACCCAACGUCUUGGUCCUAUUAAGGAGGUGAUAGCGCAGCAAACGAGGCAACCGGACUACAGUGCUUUAAUACUUUCACUUAGCCAUAGGAGUUUGACAGUGGGGCUACUAGAUAGCCCCUGGUGGCUCCGCACUCUCCCGAUCUCGGGGUGCGUACAUGCUUGGCCGGAAAACGGCCCUUCGUUAAGGCGGAGGAAUUCUAACAUUCCGAUAGGUCAUCGAGUGGUUGACCAGUCUCACGCUAUAUCAUGACAGUCAGUUUUCGGCUUUCUCUACUGAGGUGCUCGUCUGGAUGAACCAGGGCACAAUCGCAGUAGUUCUCCUGGUGCUGCCUUAGCCGAUAAAGCCGAACGUAAGGCACCAAAACACAGGAGCCGGGCAAACCCAACAUUUGACCAAAGACAAUGAUUCAGAGCUGAUGCAUAUAAGGCCAAACUCGCGACGCCGAACACUCCCUAAGGUAUUCGGUCUUUAUGGUAUAAAUCGGGCCUAAAUAGUGCCCUCUGUAAGAAGCCCCUUGUGUCCAGGUACAUGCAUUAUUGUGACGUGGCCACAUGCCAAGACGUCAGCAUCCUUCUCAAUUGUACUGAGAAUUCGAGGGAUGUGUAUCAAUAAGAGACAGUAAAAAAGGUUUACGCAGGGUCUUAAUCUAAAGGGAAUCCUUGGAGCGGGUCCCUGCUGCAUGUCUACGCCUGUGUCUCCGUUGUGCCGUAUCCUGUACGGGUGUAGCACGAUGGUCAUCUGUAAAAGAAAGGAACUUAGGUGAAAAAGUUGUCGUGCAAAAAGAUAGUUUUUAAAGAAACCAUGUAUAACUAAAAAUGAGUAGAAAUUGCCACUUGUCUGCGCGCGUUGAGCCCCUUGUAUUUGUAAUAGGGGUGUGGCCAUCAAUCUGGUACAAAUUACAUAUAGCAGCGCCGAACUUGUCUAACCGCGUCCGUGGUCUUGAUGACCUAUCAAAUGCUUUAGUUGGUGAGGCCGUUUUUAGUGUGCGGCUGCCAAGGCAGUCACAUUCUCUUCGGCGCGCAAAGAUCGCUUAAUACUUCCGUUCACUGUAAUGAUGCCACAUGGACCGGGCAUCUUGAGCGUCAGGGAAGCGUAAUGUGGUAUUGCAUUAAAGCGAGCAAAAGCUUCGCGUCCAAGUAGUGCUUGAUAUCCACUUUGGAACGGAGCGAUGUGGAAGGUUAAAUGUUCGCUACGGAAGUUAUCGGGGAAGCCGAAUAUAAUCUUUAGUAGCAGGGAGCCCGUGCAAUGAGCCCCUGGGCCUGGCGUUACUCCUUUGAAGGUAGUAUUGCUAUGGCAAAUUUUUGUUGGGUCUAUCCCCAUUUCACGGAUUGUAUCCUGGUAUAUCAGGUUGAGGCUGCUGCCGCCGUCCAUCAGGACUCGUGUGAAGUGGUAUCCGUCAAUUAUUGAGUCUAAUACCAAGGCAGCCCAUCCCGCAUGCCGGAUACUUGCUGAGUAAUCACUAUGGUCGAAAGUGAUCGGUUGAGACGACCAGUGGCAGGACUCCGCGGUGAUAUGCCUUUGGGCAUAUUUUUCUGGGAGUGCCGUUUUGUUUCUCCCCUUGAUCACGUGUAACACGUUUACUGUUUUGACUUCUGGUGGAAAUUUCUUUUGUUCCCCAGUGUCUUCCUUGAGAGGCUCAUCCUCGUCUUUGCUUGGUGUAUCCUCCCCCUUGUGUACGGCGUUGAGCUUGUCGGACUGCUUGAAGACCCAACAUUCUCUGUGGGUGUGAUUAGCGGGUUUACCAGGGGUGCUAUGGAUCUGACAUAUUUGAUCCAGAAUUUUUUUUAGGCUGGAAAGUUCAUCUCUGGCGUCUUUAGAGGGCGGCUUUUGCUGACCUGGCCGAGAGCAUUUGAAUCCGGCGUUUACUACCGUGCUCUCCGUGCUGUCUUCUUUAUUCCGAUGUUUGUUAUUGCUAUUGCACCGUGAUUUCCCGUUUCCAUAUCUAACUUCAGAUGUACUGGGGUCGCUGGUGUUGCAUCUGGCUAGCCAGUUGUCCUCACCCACGCAAAAGCGGGUCAUGAGGCUUGUUAAUGCUACCAUUGUUCUCGGCUUUUCUGGCCAAGGUGUCUGGCAAGCCAUUCUUCACGGACGCUAUGCUUAAAAGCUGCCAAGGCUUCGGCUUCCGGACAGUCGACAAUUUGGUUCUUUUUAGUAAGAAACCUGUUCCAAAGCUUUCGGGCUGACUCUCCGGGCUGUUGAGUUAUAUGACUCAAAUCAUCCGCAUCCGGGGGUCAAACAUAAGUCCCUUGAAAAUUUGCCCGAAAAGCGUCUUCGAGCUCUCCCAGCUUCCAAUGGAGUUUUCGGGGAGGCUUUUAAGCCAUUGGCGAGCUGGCCCUUUGAGCUUGAGGGGUAAGUACUUGAUGGCGUGGAGAUCAUCUGCUCGAGCCAUAUGGAUAUGGAGGAUAUAGUCCUCAAUCCAGACCCCAGGGUCUGCUGUUCCGUCGUAUGCCUCUAUGUUUACGGGUUUGAAUCCCUCUAGAAAUUCAUGGUCCAACACCUCAUUGGUGAAACAUAGGGGGUGUGCGGCACCCCUAUAUCUGGGUGUACCUGGUUUUUUGGAUGUUUUUUGUGUUACAUCGUAUGCCGGGGUGCGCUUGUGUGGUCCAUAGAUGGAUCUGGUUGCGUUGUCCUUUUGGUGCGAGCCCUCGCGUGGAUCAUGUAUUGGCUUGUGAGUGGCGUUGUUGGCCGCUCUAUGUUGGCCAUGAGGUCGUCUAUCCGGCCAGGUGGCCAUUUCGAUUUUUGGUUGUAGGGGGGUCUGAGGCCUCCUCAUCAAAUGCAGGUAGCAACUUCCGCUUUGGGUAGCUCUUGGUGGGGCGACUGCCGUCGUACUUCGCUGCUGUGUUGAGUACUUUACUCCAUCUGAUUUGGAGUGUGUCCUGCGCAGUCUUGAGCCUUUGCUUCUACUUUUUCAUACUCCUCGUGGUGGUAACAAGCCUUUGACAGAAUUGGUUUGUUCGGUUUGAUUCUCCAUAUUGCCGCGGUCCGGCAGUGGUUCGCCCUGCUCCAACGCUGGGUCAGUAUGAUCGUUAUUUUUGCCGAGGCGGGAUUUGGGGCGGUGCUUGCGCCGCCGCUUUGACUGCUUCUCGAGGGAACAAGCCUUCGGUGCGUCCUUCCGUUCCUCCUCGUCAUCUUUUGGUGUGUCCACCAUGUAUACGUCAUAUGAUGAGGUGGAUGUCUAGCGCCCUGUGGGCGGUGGUUCCUCUUCGCCUCCCGCAUCGUCGUCCAUACCGUCGACGUCUUCGGACUCGAAGUCGAGCAUGUCGGUUGAGUCAUCGACAGUGGCUAUUAAGUGGGUGGUGGGUGGGCGUCAAAUUUCUUCGUCGUCCGCAUCCAAAUCCUGUUGGCCAUAAUCCGGCGAGGGCUCUCCUAACAAAGAGAGGGACCUUAGUGAAUUUAGAAUGUCGCCGAAGGGCGAGUGCUGAAAGAUAUCCGCGGCGGUGAAUUCCAUGAUCGGCGCCCAAUCGGAUUCGAUUGGCAGGGGCGCGGGCGGUUCGGAGUGAGAAAAAGAGUCCGGCACCUUGGAGUCACGGGUUGCGCAGAGGAUUAUGCUGGUCUCAGCUCGAUCGCCAUUGAGACUGUAGCCCCUGAGGUGGUGUCUAACCACCCGACCUCGAUUGGCGCAGUUGACUCCGAGCUAAGGGUCACAGCUAAUGUGGGCGCGGCCACUGGGGUAUUGUUCGGCGGCAGAGCUAGGUCAUACCCAUCAUGACAGUGCGGCGUGUCCGACUACGGCUUGAAUCUAUCGAAGAUCAAGUCUCCGCGGAUGUCGGCCGUGUAGUUCAAACUUCCAAAUCUGACCUGACGGCCAGGGGCAUAGCUUUCAAUCUGCUCCAGAUGGCCAAGCGAAUUAGCCAGCCGCGCAAAGCCGCCGAAUACGAAGAUCUGUCCGGGUAGAAAAGUCUCACCCUGGACCGCAUCGCUAUCGAUGAUAGUAGGAGCCAUCAAGCCUAAUAACGGCGACGACAGAGAGGAACUCUCAAUGAAAGCACCAAUGUCGGUGUCAAAACCGGCGGAUCUCGGGUAGGGGGUCCCGAACUGUGCGUCUAGGCUGGAUGGUAACAGGAGGUAGGGGACACGAUGUUUUACCCAGGUCCAGGCCCUCUUGAUGGAGGUAAAACCCUAUGUCCUGCUUGAUUAACAUUGAUGAUAUGGGUAGUACAAGAGUACAUCUACCACGAGAUCAGAGAGGCUAAACCCUCGAAGCUAGCCUAUGGUAUGAUUGUAUGUUGUGAUUGUUGUCCUACGGACUAAAACCCUUCGGUUUAUAUAGACACCGGAGAGGGUUAGGGUUACACAAGGUCGGUUACAAAGGAGGAGAUAUCCAUAUCCGUAUUGCCUAGCUUGCCUUCCACGCCAAUUAGAGUCCCAUCCGGACACGAGACGAAGUCUUCAAUCUUGUAUCUUCAUAGUCUAACAGUCCGGCCAAUGGAGAUAGUCCGGCUGUCCGGAGACCCCCUAAUCCAGGACUCCCUCAAUGACGAUGUUGAGGAUGCCGACGGGGCAGGCAAUGAUGACACGGGGCAAGACGAAGAGAUGAUCGAUAAUGGCAGCGGGGAAGAGGCCGGACAUGGCGGCGGAGAAGGGACCGGACAUGGCGGCGGAGAAGGGUCCGGACAUGGCGGCGGAGAAGGGGCCUGUAACACCCCAAGACCGGAGCUUCAGUUGCCUUCCAGGGUUUCUGGGUUUCUCCGUGUGUUUUAUUUUUGCUUGCUCCUUUUAUUUUUUGCAUUGCAUCAUGUCAUCAUGCCAUCAUGUCAUUAUUUUUUGCAACUCAACUAAAUAAACCAUAUGGAUCUUCGAUCCAUUUAAACUGAGGGAAUUCACCUGGUGACUUCUCUUUAUAACAUACCCUCCCAAUAGUAGGGAGCUAUAUAAAAUAUUCCAUUCGUGUGAAUUACCUUGACACACUUGCAAAAUAUUUCCCCAUGCCUUCGUCCCAUGCAUCAUCUCCUUCUCCUGUCUUUUGCUAGUCCCAUUUUUCCCCUUCUCUUUUAAUGUCCAUUCUUUUCCUAUAAAUUCUAGACCGUGCCAGGACUACCUUCCCCAAUUUUCGGAUCCUUUGGACUUGUUUUGGUACGGUUCAAAGAUGGCUCAAGUUUGAAUUUAAUUCAAACUUGAAUUAUUUUUCUAUCUAUGAUAUUUGCCAAGUCCAUUUAUCCAAAUUGUGCAUAAUGCAAGGACUCCAGAUACAUUCUCAUAUCUCUCUCACGCCUUCACUUUAUCUUUGAGUUUUUCCCACUUAUUCUCUGUUUGAGGAAAUUGUGAAAAUAAGGAAUAAGAGGGGAAGGGAGAGCCCAGCUCCAGCGGCAGCAAUGCAGCCCAGCACCAGCAGCAACUGGGCUGGCCUCUAAGGCCCAGUCGCCCCAAGCCCAUCCUGCCCUGUUAACCCUAGACCAGACCCUUCCUCUCGAUCUCUUCCCUUUUCCUACACCUCGCGCCGCCAGGAGAGGACGCACGCGACCGAACCUUCCCCAUCUCCUGGAUGCGGCUAUAUCUUCCACUUAUCGAAGCACGACUUAGAGGCAUAACCGCAUUGAAAGCAAUGUCGCAAGUAAGGUAAUCUUCACACAACCCAUGUAAUACAUAAGGGAAAGAGAUACAUAAUUGGCUUACAAUCGCCACUUCACACAAUACAUGAAUAAAGCAUUACAUCAUCCAGAUACAAUCAAGGUCCGACUACGGAACCAAAAUAAAAGAAGACUACCCCAAAUGCUACACAGAUCCCCGAUCGUCCCAACUGGGCUCCACUACUGAUCGACUGAAACAACACAAAGGGCAAGGUCUUCAUCGAGCUCCUCCCGAGCUCAGCUGCAUCACCUACACGGUAUCAUCGGCACCUGCAAACUAGUUUUGGAAGUAUCUGUGAGUCACACGGACUCAGCAAUCUCACACCCUCGCGAUCAAGACUAUUUAAGCUUAUAGGAAGGGUAAAAGGUAUGAUGUGGAGCUGCAGCAAGCGACUAGCAUAUAUGGUGUCUAACAUACGCAAAUGAGAGCGAGAAGAGAAGGCAAAAGCACGAUCGAACAACUAUGAUCAAGAAGUGAUCCUAGAACAACCUACGUUAAGUAUAACUCCAACACCGUGUUCAGUUCCCGGACUCCACCGGAAAGAGACCAUCACGGUUACACACGCGGUUGGUGCAUUUUAAUUAAGAGAAACUUCAAGUUUUCUACAACCGGACAUUAACAAAUUCGCAUCUGCCCAUAACCGCGGGCAUGGCUUUCGAAAGUUCAAAUCCCUGUAGGGGUGUCCCAACUUAGCCCAUCACAAGCUCUCACGGUCAAGGAAGAAUAUUCCUUCUCCCAAGACAAUCCGAUCAGACUCGGCAUACCGGUUACAGGACAUCCUCGACAAUGGUAAAACAAGUCCUGCAAGACCACCCACUGUGCCGACAAAUCCCGAUAGGAGCUGCACAUAUCUCGUUCUCAGGGCACACCGGAUAAGCUAAGUGUACGGGAGCCAACGUAACCCAAGUUGCCAAGGGACGGCCCCACACGGUGCUCUGGGUUGGACCAACACUUAGACAAGCACUGGCCCGGGGGUUUAAAAUAAAGAUGACCCUCGGGAUGCACAACUCCCAAGGGAAAAAGGCUAGGUGGCGAGUGGUAAAACCAAGGUUGGGCCUUGCUGGAGGAGUUUUAUUCAAAGCGAACUUUCAAGGGGUUCCCAUUAUAACCCAACCGUGUAAGGAACGCAAAAUCCGGGAACAUAACACCGAUAUGACGGAAACUAGGGCGGCAAGGGUGGAACAAAAUACCAGACAUAAGGCCGAGCCUUCCACCCUUUAACAAGUAUAUAGAUGCAUUAAUUAAAUAAGAGAUAUUGUGAUAUCCCAACAAUAAUAUCCAUGUUCCAACAAGGAACAAACUCCAAUCUUCACCUGCAACUAACAACGCUAUAAAAAGGGCUGAGCAAAGCGGUAACAUAGCCAAACAACGGUUUGCUAGGACAAGGUGGGUUAGUGGUUUGACAUGGCAAUAUGGGAGGCAUGAUAAGCAAGUGGUAGGUAUCGCAGCAUAGGCAUAGCAAUAGAGCGAGCAACUAGCAAGCAAAGAUAGAAGUGAUUUCGAGGGUAUGGUCAUCUUGCCUGAGAUCCCGCAAGGAAGAAGAACGAGUCCAUGAAGAAGACAAACGAACGAAGUCGAACGGAUCCUCACAGACGCGGCGUUAUCGAAACUAACGUGAAGAAGAAACACCGGAAAGAAGCAAACAACAUAGGAAACAACCACCACAUAAUCAUGGCAUGAUGCACAACUAAGUAUGAUGCAUGUCUGGUUUAAUGAUACAUGUCAUGGCAAAGUGCACAAACAACUCUACAAGUUAAGUGGAGCUCAAUAUGCAACGAGUUGCGUAUUGACGGAACACCACAUCAAUUAUUUUGUUGACUCUCGGUUAGGUACUCAACAAUAUUAAAUGUUGGUUAACAUGGCAAGAGGUGAAGCAUAACAAAACUAUACCAUCUAACAAUUUAAAUGAGGCCGGAUAUAACCAACAACAAAUCCGGUAAAUCCCCAUAUGCAUUAGCAAUUUAAUGCAACAACAAUUUUAAACAUCUUAAAGUUGUUAACAUGAUGCAGAUGACAUUUUCAAGUUUAUGCAAUAUUUAUGAAAAUGUUCACAUGAUAAGAUAUGAGGCAUUUAUCAUCGUGACGGAAACGAAAGGGGUGCCACGACAACGAAUCCGAAAGUGAUGCCACGGCAACUUAUUGGUUUCCGGUAACUCGAUUGAGAUACCGAUGCAAAGGGGAAGUUGUGUGUGAGUGUGUCAUGCAUGAUGGUGGGGUGAUCCCGGUAACCGGGUUCCCCACGAAUUAGCAGCAAAAGAGGAGGACCGAGCAAGUGACAACUCGGGCACGGUGCAAACAUAGGGUGCAACUCAUAGAACACAUGCAAACGUUCUCGGAUGGCCGUCUUGGGGUUAUACCUUCGAAGCAUGCGUUUCGAAGCGUAUCGGUUCGGUGCAAAGUAGAGGAAGUAGACGUUCUCGCCACGUUUGUAGUGGUAGUAGUUGUACUCAUGCCGUAGUGGAAGUAGUGGUUCGCGUCGAUGGUAGUGGUACAUACCAAUCAUGGACGAACUUGAGGGUCAUCGGUAGACGUUCACGGUUCUUAGUCUCACAAGUUUCCGUAGAUAUUCAGGGCACGGCGAGAAACUUGACGUCCACGGAGUCUUCAAGGGACGACGGUAGUGGUACUUGGCAAAAUGCACGUGGACGUCAGUUGUUCUCGUAUCGUCGUGGUACUGACGAUUUCAGAGACAAUGGAAGACAAACUUGGCGGUCCUUGUUGACCUCGUACUUGGCGUUGUUUCCGGUUCAGUGAUCAUUUUAGGCGUCGGGCGUCAUGGAGGAACUUGACAUUCUCAGCGAUUUCGAAGACGACGGUAGUGAUACACACGAGUCACCAUGUAGUCGUACACUUGUCGGAGAGGAUCUUGGCGCCUCCCAAGCGAAGCAGCAAAAAAAAGGCCUCGGGUCUUGGCGUGUCCAAAACGUGGCAGAACAUGGUCUUUGUUGCGGUCGUUAUCUUGAGGAGUUUAACAGGAGCUGGCAUCGCUCGGUCUUGGCGAGGCUGACAACAGGCCGCGUGGCCCACGUGCGAACAGCGAGGGCGAGGAAGCAGCCCUAGGCGCGGUCGAAGUGGGCGUCCUCGCUAUGCAGCAACUGGAGGUCAAUGGCGGAGCAGCAGCAAGACGAAGAGCUCGGCGGCCUGGACUCGCCGGUUGGAGGCGGGACGCGCGCAGUAGGGAGCUCAGUGGCCGGAGCUGAUGGUCAACGCCGCCGCAGGAUCGCGGGCACGAGGGCUCGGCGACGCCCCUGUUGCCACUCACGAUGAAGAAGGGAGGACCAUGGGCGCGCGAGGGGGCACUGCCUCGCGGCUGUGGACGCGAGCGAGGGGGAAGGUUGAGAACUCCGGUGACGCGGAGGCGCAGGAGAGGCGGGGUUGAGGACGACGGCUCAACGGCUCGGGGUGGCACGCGACAGAAGGAGCAGCUCCGGCAGGACGAGGGACUCGGCGACGUAGACUUGGGGCGCCGGUGACGAGCGACGUCUGCGGGCGCAGAGGACAACGGCUGCAGGCGCGGGUGCUCAGGGAGCUCCUCUCCUUGAGCGCUCGCCGACGGGGACUUUGCGAGGAAGAGGCACCGGCGACGGGCGACGUAUGCACUGCAGAGAGAGGCGCGCGGGGGGUUGCGAGAGGAGGGAGUGAGAGACUGCGAGAGGAUGGGGAUCGUGUGCGGCGCUGCGGGAGAGAACGAAAGAACGGGAGAUGGGGAUCCAGGAGAUGGGGAAGGUUUGGUCGCGUGCGUCCUCUCCUAGCGGCGCGAGGUGGAGGAAAAGGGAAGAGAUCGAGAGGAGGGGUCUGGGCUAGGGUUAACAGGGCAGGAUGGGCUUGGGGCGACUGGGCCUUAGAGGUCAGCCCAGUUGCUGCUGGUGCUGGACUGCAUUGCUGCCGCUGGAGCUGGGCUCUCCCUUCCCCUCUUAUUUCUUCUUUUCACAAUUUCCUCAAAUAGAGAAUAAAUGGGAAAAACUCAAAGAUAAAGUGAAGGCGUGAGAGAGAUAUGAGAAUGUAUCUGGAGUCCUUGCAUUAUGCACAAUUUGGAUAAAUGGACUUGGCAAAUAUCAUAGAUAGAAAAAUAAUUCAAGUUUGAAUUAAAUUCAAACUUGAGCCAUUUUUGAACCCUACCAAAACAAGUCCAAAGGAUCUGAAAAUUGGGGAAGGUAGUCCUGGCACAGUUUAGAAUUUAUAGGAAAAGAAUGGAUAUUAAAAGAGAAGGGGGAAAAUGGGACUAGCAAAAGACAGGAAAUAGAAGGAACAGAGAAGGAGAUGAUGCAUGGGACGAAGGCAUGGGGAAAUAUUUUGCAAGUGUGUCAAGGUAAUUCCACACGAAUGGAAUAUUUUAUAUAGCUCCCUACUAUCGGGAGCGUAUGUUAUAAAGAGAAGUUACCAGGUGAAUUCCCUCGGUUUAAACGGAUCAAAGAUCCAUAGGGUUUAUUUAGUUCAGUUGCAAAAAAUAAUGACAUGAUGGCAUGAUGACAUGAUGCAAUGCAAAAAAUAAAAGGAGCAAGCAAAAAUAAAACACACGGAGAAACCCAGAAACCAUGGAAGGCAACUGAAGCUCCGGUCUUGGGGCGUUACAGGUCCGGACAUGGCGGCGGAGAGAACGACAUUGACUCCAUGUAGCAGAGUUCGUUGGUACUAAGUUCAAUCGUGCGGGACCCUCAUGUUCAAGCAUUGCUUCGCAAGGAGACGAGUACUGAGAGAGCUACUUCUAGAGAGGAGGCUAAGCUGGAGCAACUGGUGGUAGACUCGAACACUCCAUUGUAUGAUGGUUGCAAUCCUGAGGUGACCCGCUUGAGUUUCACGCUCCAGCUCCUGAAGACGAAGGCUAAAAACAAAUGGACCGACACUAGCCUCGAUGCGCAUCUCAAGUACCUAAAGGAUGUUCUUCCCGUGAGUAAUCUAUGUCCUAGUAGUGUUGAUGAGGCCAAGAAGAUCGUAUGCCCUCUUGAUCUGCCACACGUUAGAUACCAUGCAUGCAUCAACGAGUGCAUAAUUUAUCGGAAGGAGCAUGCGGAAAAAACAAGUUGUCCGGUGUGCAAUGAUUCUCGAUACAAGAAGGCCGGGAAGAAAUGUCCCCAAAAACUGGUAGGGUAGUUACCGAUCACUCCCCGUCUCCAGAGGUAUUUUAUAGAUCCCAUGGAAGCAAAGCUAAUGCGCUAGCAUGCGGAGAGGAAGAAGCCCGACGACGGAGAUGAUCCGAAGCUGAGACACGUCAAGGAUGGAAGCCAGUGGAGAGCGUUGAACAACUUCUAUCGGUAUUUUGAAUGUGAUGCAAGGAACAUCGUGCUCGGCGCGUGUACCGAUGGCAUGAAUCCGUUUGGCAACCAGAACACCAACCAUAGCACAUGGCCCGUGUUUGUAUGGAUGUACAACAUCCACCCUGGUUGUGCAUGAAAUCAAAGUACAUUCACAUGAGCAUGCUUAUUCAAGGGCCGAAACAACCAGGAAAUAAUAUUAAUUUGUAUCUGGGGCUACUUCAAAAGGAGUUAGACACGUUAUGGAAAACACCGGCCAAGACAUGGGAUGCCAGCAAAGGCAAGUAUUUCAACAUGAGAGUCGCGCUGAUCACGACAGUGCAGGACUAUCUCGGUUACGGAUAUGUUCCAGGCCAGGUGUGCCAUGGAUAUUGCAGAUGCACGCGGUGCAUGGAUGAUACGACGUCUCAGCAGCUAACGUCAAGGAAAGAUGGCGGGUCUGGGAAAAUCGUGUACAUGGGGCAUCGAAGAUGGCUCGAACAGGACGGCCCAUGGAGAAAUCGUGGAGAUCUAUUCAAUGGUCACGCUGAGCAUCGAGGACCUCCACGUAAGCGGAGCGGUGCCGAAAUCGAUGAGCUGUUGAAAAACUAGAAGGCGUGCCCCGCGCCGGGAAAGACGAUGAGAAAGGCGCCGGAGCCGCUACUGAAGGUAUGGGAGACGAGGUCUGUGUUCUGGGACUUGGAGUACUGGCACAAACUUGAUACACCUCAUUGCCUUGAUCAAAUGCAUAUCUGUAAGAAUGUCCUUGAGAGCUUGCUUGCAACACAGAUGAACAUUCCGGAUAAGACCAAGGAUGGGCCGAAGGCAAGAAAAGACUUGCAAGAUUUGAAAAUCAGGGAAGAUCUGCACAUGCCGCCCCGUAAAAUGUCAGACGAGACAGAGACGGAGAUAGAGGCACGGGAGAAGAAGGGCAAGAAAAUAAAGAAAGAGGAUUAUUGCCCCCUUCUUGCUUCACCUUAAGUCAGACUGAGAUCGAUCAAUUCUUUAAGUGCCUUAUCGGAGUCAAAGUUAGUUCCGGUUACUGUGGUAAGAUAAACAGAUAUCUAGACACGGACAAGAAAAGGUUCAGCGGGAUGAAGUCCCAUGACUGUCAUGUGAUGAUGACGCAGAUACUACCUGUUGCCCUUAGAGGGAUAAUGGACAAGCACGUCCGUGACACGCUUAUUGGUCUCUGCAACUUUUUCGACGUCAUCUCUCAAAAGUCGAUCAGUGUGAAGCAGCUCCGAAGGCUACAUGAAGAGAUUGUUGUGAUACUGAAUGAGCUUGAGAUGUACUUCCCGCCCGCGUUCUUUGACGUGAUGGUGCAUCUGUGUGUCCAUAUUGUGGAUGACAUAAUAGACCUGGGGCCGUCAUUCCUGCACAACAUGACGCCGUUUGAGAGGGUGAAUGGGAUUAUCAAAGGAUUCGUUUGUAACAUGUCCCGUCCGGAUGGAAGCAUCGUCCAAGGCUAUGUGACACAAGAGUACAUCUCUUUCUGUGAGAAUUUCCUAUAUGGCGCAGACCAGCCGCCUAUUGUUAGUGUUGGUUUGCCUGUUAACAAGCACGAUGGGAGGCUCGAAGGAGAAGGUCACUUCAACGGUCGCAGGGAACUGCACGUGACAUACUCAGAUCGACGCAGCAACUGUGACAGAGCAAACUUCGUAGUGCUACAACACCUAUACGAGGUAGAUCCUUUCGUGGCACUCCACAAAGAAAUUAAGGCAAAGAAGUAUCGUGACCGGGGGGUAUGCAGGACGGACGCCAAAGUUACUAGAGAGCACAACUCCACUUUCUUGCAUUGGUUCAAAGAGCAUACUAUUGCUAAUCUCCCGGAGGAGGGCUCUAAGGACGAAUUGCUCAUAUACGCCUUAGCACAUGGCCCCUCACCCAACCUCGUAACCUAUCAGGCAUAUGAUAUCAACAGAUACACGUUCUACACGGAGGCCAAAGAUAUGGACAGUGAUGAUCAGAACUCAGGGGUGACGAUGGAAUGCAUGACCGGCAGCGACAACGGCGCAACUGAACGAUUUUAUGGAAGGGACGAGGAGAUCUGGGAGCUUGACUACUCUGGACUGCACAACAUGAGGAUGUUCCGUAUCAGAUGGGCUAAGAAUGUCGAAAGAGAAAACCGGAUUUUCACUACCAUGACUAUACCCGAUGCCAAGAGCGUUACCGUGGACGCUAUGAUCAGUACGGGUACACGCUAAGCACGUGACACAAUGCUUCUUCAAAACCGACCCAUGCAAUCCCGGUCGUGUUGUCGUGAGGAGAUGCAAAAGGAACAUCAUUGGAAUGGAUGGAGUCGCCAACGAGGAAGACUAUGAUCAGUACGGCAACCCAAUGAGGGAAGAUAACGAUGAUGAUGAAGUAUACGUCAAAACAAGAAUCAAUACUACAUUACCUAAGAAAAAUCGUACUCCAUGGAAAAGGCAAAGUCACAAUGAGGGGCUCAAUUAUUCUUCGACGAACAAGAAGGGAAAGAAGCUGACUCAAAACGUCAGCGCUGAGGAACCGUAUGUUAUCGGUCAAAUGAUGUAAUAUAUAUAUAUAUAUAUAUAUAUAUAUAUGUGUGUGUGUGUGUGUGUGUGUGUGUGUGUGUGUGUGUGCGUGUGUGUGUUCCUAUUUUGUAUACACACUUAGCCAUUAUUAUGCAUGGGUCCAAUGAUGUAAUAUAUAUGUUCCUAUUUUGUAUACAUAUUUAAACGUCAAAUGAUUCAAUAUAUAUCGCCUCCCCUUCGUUCACUGCUCUUAGGAAAUAAAAGUAGGAGAAAAUAAAGGAAAAGAAAAAGAAAAACUGGCAGUAGCGAUUUGCUUAUAAAACAUCUACAGUCAAGCUAGCAGUAGCGAUUUCCUUAUAAAACCGCUACAGCUAGUGAAGGUAGUAACAACACGUUUUAUCUAAACCGCUACAGCUAGUGAAGGUAGUAUCAGCGCGUUUUGUCUAAACGCGCUACUGCUACAUCCACUUAACCCAAAAUUCUCACUCUCCCUGCUUCAUCCCGCCUCUUUUCCCCCCAAAUCCCCACUCUCUCUUCCCUCAUCGCACCGCCGCGCCCCGGCGCUCGCCCCCGACCCGGCCCUCACCCCCGACCCCGGUGCUCGCCCCCGACCCGUCGGCCCUCGCCUCCCUCUUCUGCUUCCUACCCUCCCAACCUCGGCCAUCGUCGGGCCUGCCUCCUCACCCCUGCACCACCUGUAAACCCCCCCCUCUCUCUGCUAGCUAGGGUUCUUCGGUUAAUUUACAUAGGUUUUAGUUAGGGCAGUAGGUUAAUUAGGUUAUUUAUUUAGUUAUGAAUUUAGCUAGGUUUUAAAAUAGGACAGAAAUUUAAUGUUAAACAAUUGUAGUCAAAAGAAAAGGGUAGCAUUUAAGCAAUUGUCCAAAUCAACAUCCCUUGUUAAAGCAAAUUUAGGUAGGCUAAAUUUAUAUGCAAAUUUGAACUGGACAUGUGGUAUGUGGAUAUGUCAUGUUUUCGACAUGUCAUGUUUGGAAUUUGAACAUGUCAUUUGGACAUGUGAUGUUUUGGUUCAAUUUUGGUAAAUGAUCCGAGUGGCCUAUGUUAUGCCGGAAUGUUGAUUCAUUUCCGUUCCGGUGAAUUUCAGGCACUCGAUAUGUCCAUUUUUUAGCAAAGGUCAUGCCGAAAUUUGCCGUGAAUAAAGGCAUGAUUUGUGCUACAUAGUUGGCAUAUCGAGUGCUGGCACAUAGAUUUCUUUUUUAUGUCAUUUCUCAUUUAUUCAUACUUUUAGAAAUAAACAAGGACACUUAAUAAUAGGAAACAUGUCGAACAACGAAGAAACUGAGCCUUCUGACCAAGAUGCAGACGAGAUGGAUUAUGAGGGUGAACAAGAGUACCUCGACUAUUUGACUGCUAAGCAAGGUUUGCAGGUCGGCCUCGAUGAUGGUACUGACGCCGACAUCGACACCGACGGCGCCAGCACCGAUGGCGGCGCCGAGACCGGCGGGGAAGGUACCAGCGGGGAAGAUACCGGCAGGGAAGGUAUCGGCGCCGAUGCCGCUACCAAAAAGAGGAAGCAUAAGAAGCAGAGGAUACGAAAACCUAACAAACUAGGGAUUGGACGACUUGUGAUCACAAAGAUGGCACCUGGCAAGUUUGAGCCAUUAGAUCUAGAAGAACCUCGCAAGUGCUAUGGGAACCAAGUAGGAUGCAUCCUACGGGAAUGCGCGAGCAUCAACGACGAUGACUUAAGGAGUAAAGAACAUUUGACGCAGUUGCUCCUAAUGAAGUUGCACAAGAGAUUCAAGUUCCCCGACCGGGAUGAUAACAUAGAACACCCGUGGGAUGAUCCGAACAUGAAAAAGAUUAUCAAUCAUGCCAUGGGCAUGUUUAGCAAUGAUUUGGCCUCCUAGAAAGGGAGGGUGGAACGAGCUAUUGAGGCUGAGGAACCCAUGUCCAAGAUUCUGGAGGAAAAUCCGACACUUACGGAAGAGGAGUUCGAAAAGUUCAAGGACACUUGCGCUACUGAGGCAGCCAAGGCAAAGGCUGCGAAAUUCAAGAGCCUUCAGCAAAGGAACACGGGGAAGCAUCGCCUCGGAAUCCGUGGCUACCUCAGUAAAAGGCCCAUAUGGGAUAAGGAGGACGCGGAACGUGAAGCCGCGGGUCUCCCAGACCCCUUCGCAAAGUUCACCAACCCCUUGGAGCGUGACUUCAUCAGGGCCCGCUAUCAGCAUGCUAAUGACGAUAUGGAUGAUAUGCCCAGGCAGGAAGGUUGUUGGAAGGACUGCAAAAAGUCUCUUCAUGAAUUCCUCACAGGACACGCCUGAAGAUAUCGCCUCAACACAGGCUCAACUAGCCGGGGGUCGUACAAUGCUUAGCCCAGGAACACUGGGGCAGGGGUUAAGGAAGGGUCUGGAAGGUGUGCCCAAGAAAAAGGAGAGGAAGAGAUCGGGGAAGAUAACUGCCUCCAAACAAGCCAAAGCACAAAGCAGCCAGACGAUGCAUUCUGAAGAGUGUGUACCCGUGAAAGGUGCGGCCAUGUUCCAUCUCACGAGCGAGCCGAUGCUACCGCCAAAACCGCUGUAGGCACUAUCAGGGGAUCAUAGGAGACUGCACGACCAUGUGCUGUCGACUGAGAAAAGCGUACUAGCCUCAAAGGAUCCAGGAUAUCCGACAUACGCGGCUCGUGUGCCUAAGGGGAAGUGCUACGUCGAGACACGACCCGCGGAGGUGUUCUUCCUGCGGUUUGACCAUAUCUUUGAGAUGUUUCUGACAAGGCAGCUCGAUUUUACAAUCGUCCGCAUUUUUGCGCUACAUAUGAGCUCUGUCAUGAAGAGUGAAGAAGUCUCGCAAAUCUGUGUGGCGGAUCCGUACUACAUGCACGAGUAUUUCUUGAGUCUCGGCGACUUUGAGCGUGAAACUGCUAGGGAGUACCGCCAAAACUUCAUGGUACAGAAUAAGGACCGGGAAAUUGUCCUCGUGCCUUAUCAUCCAAAGUAAGUCAGUUCCGGACAACCCUUUCAUACAUUUCAAUCAUUCCUUCUCUCUCAUAUGGGGAACAAUUUGAGGUUUAUUUUCCCCGCAGCAACGGGCGCACCAUCCUUAUCGUUCUUUACCCGCAAGUCUCCCACGCCGUUUAUUUUGACCCUUCCAGAGACUACGAGAAAAAAGACUACACCCACAUAAUGAAUAUUCUAGACGAUGCUCUCCAAGGCUUCAGCAUUAAAGGUGGCCACAUGCAGAUCAGGAAAUAAAGGAACAAGAAGAUGGGUUUCACGCAUAAAACUAACUUCUCCCACAUCCAUAUCCCAAAACCAAGCUAGAAGGAUGGAUUCUACAUCGUCCAUCUCAUGAUUCAGUUCAACACGGAUCACCAAAAGCUUCGCUUAAGAAGCAGAAAUGAUGAUCAUAUCCACAAGUGGCUAGAAUCUCAUGGAGAAGCGGAUUAUAAACUUAUAGAUGACUUCUUUCACAUCCAAAGCGACAUUGCGAUGAUCAUCAUGAAAGAAGUCGUCGAUGAGAAGGGGAUGUUCCACCACGGCUCUAUAUCGCGAGCAGACGUCCGAACUUGCAUAGGCAUGCAACGUCUAGACCUCACGCCGUUCAACAAGCUAGGGUCCAUCCUCGAUGAUAUGGAAGGAUGGAACUUCUAGUGAUUUAUGAUGUCGAUGAUGAUGAUAUGUGUCGGUUGAACUUGUAUACUUUUUGUAGCGAUGAAACUUUUUGAUGUCCACGGCCCCUGCUGAACUUGCGUAACGCUACUUUGUCAGUUUGCGUAUGAUGACCUACGUACCUCUAGUUAAUUAAUUUGCGUUCUGUAUAUUGCAUCUAGUUGCUAACCCUUUCUUUUUCGGUGUUGCUCUAGUAUAUUUUGUUGCAUAUAUAUGAUUGUACAUCCUCUUCAUGAACAUGCAUCUCUAACAGGUACCUAGUUUCUCUAUGGCGAGAUGGAAGUGCUAUGUCGUGUACAAAGGGAAGGUUCUGGGGGUGUACAAUGAGUGGCAUGAGUAUCAGGCGCAAGUGAAUGGGUUCUCGGGCGCCAGCCAUAAAGUCUUCAAAAGCAGACAAGAAGGAGAAGCUAGUUACUUGAGGUUCACACUAGCGCGAGAGAGGACUCGUAACCGCCACCUCAUGUACUGCAUAGUUCCGCUCUCACUCAUAGUGAUAGCUCUUCUGCCGUAUACCUUUGUUUAGAUGGAUGACAUUGUAGUUGCAAGUAUUCGAGACUUGCAUGUAUCGCUAUUUUCGAGAUGAUGACAAGAUACCACUUUGUGUUGGAUGAUGAUUAUGAUGAGACUAUUUGUAUGUAUAUGCUAUGAUUACAUUUGUGGUCUCACAGGCAUUUGUAUGUGUAUCAUGAUGACAUUUGUAUGUGCUAAAGAUUCUUCUAUAAAGCCUGUUCAAAUACAAAACAAAUAUGCCGGAAAAAAACAAAAAAACUACUAAAAUUAGCAGUAGCGAGUGGAGAAAAGUUAGCAGCAGCGCAGUAGUAGCAGUAGCGCGCACAUGAGAAGCGCGCUAUAGCUAUUAGCAGUAGCGAGCUUCCAUUAAACGCGCUGCUGCUACACUUGUGUAGCAGUAGCGCUGGUGAGCAUGCGCUACUGCUACGUGUUAGCUAUAGCGCCUUAUUAGUAGCGCCGGUCCCCGCGCUACUGAUACACCUAAAACCCGCGCUGCUGCUAGCCUUUUCCCUGGUAGUGUUCGAGCUCCUCUUAAAUGCAGGCUUAUGGACCUAAAGUCACUUUAUCUGCCUGUGGGCCUACUGGGCCUCCUGCGGGCCUGAAUCCUGGCCCAUGCUAGGGUUUCUAGUCAUAUUCAGGUCGUGGGGCCCCAGUAGGUGGCACUUUUUUUUGUUUUCUUUGUUGCUUUAUUUAUUUUAUUUUGUUUCUACUUACAACAAAAUACUUAAUGUUGCUAUUUUUAUUUUUUCCAGUUUUUUUGUUUUGUUUUUUGCAUUUUUUUUCUUCUGCUUCUUGCUUUAUUUUUUAAUUCUUUUUGCUUUUAGGUCAGAAAAAUUAUAAACUUUCUGUUAGUGCCGUUAGUUUUCAAAUUUGAAUAGUUAAAAUUUGAAUUCUUUGAAAUUUGUGUGAAUCACAAGUUUGUGAUUAACUUUACUAUAAAAAUACUUUUUUUUUCCAUUCUUUGUUUUGUUUUUUGCAUUAUUUAUUUUCUUUUUUUUUGCUUUUUUAAAAUUCUUUUUGCUUUUAGGUCAGCAAAAAUAUAAACUUUCUAUGAGUGUCAUUAGUUUUAGAAAAUUUAUAAACUUUCUAUUAGUGCCAUUAGUUUUCAAAUUUGAAUAGUUAAAAUCUGAAUUAUUUGAAAUUUGUGUGAAUCACAAGUUUGUGAUUAACUUACUAAAAAUGAGCAUAGAGGCGCUUAUAGAGAAAAUUCAACCUAAAUUCAUAGUAAAUUUCUAUGAAUUUCAGAGAAAUUCACUCUGAAUUUAGGUUAAACUUUUCUCUAUAAGGGCAUCUAUUUUCACUUUGAGAGGAGCUCAACAAGGUAGAGAGGGAAGGGCUUAUAAACCGGUGUGAGCCCCUUUCGGUUGGCGAGGUGAGACUAAACUCGGCCCGCAACGAGGACCAACCCUUUAGUCCCGGUUUGUGGCACAAACCGGGACUAAUGGUCAUGGGCCAGGGGCGAGGAGCAUUGGUCCCGGUUGGUGGCACGAACUGGGACCAAUGCCCCCUUUAGUUCCGGUUGGUGAUACCAACCGGGACCAAAGGCCUUGUGCUGCCCCGCGUCAAAAGUUUAGUACCACAUCGCUAGCUGAGAGAGCUCGAGAGUGGUUUAUAAGCGCUGCUGCGCCCACCCUCUCGAGCUCCUCUCAAUUGUAGGCUUUCGGGCCUAACCAUACGUUGUGUGCCUGUGGGCCUACUGGGCCACCUGCGGGCCUGAAUCCUGGCCCAUGGUAGGGUUUGUAGUCGUAUUCAGGCCAUGGGGCCCCAGUAGGUGGCACUUUUUUUGUUUUCUUUGUUGCUUUAUUUAUUUUAUUUUGUUUCUACUUACAACAAAAUACUUAUUGUUUUUAUUUAUAUUUAUUUUAUUAAAGUUUAUUUUUAAUUAUUUUUCUUUUAGGACACAAAAAUUAUAAACUUUCUGUUAGUGCCAUUAGUUUUCAAAUUUAAAUAGUUAAAAUUUGAAUUAUUUGAUAUUUGUGUGCAUCACAAGUUUGUGAUUAACUUUACUUUAAAAAUAGUAUUUUUCCCGUUUUUUUGUUUUAUUUUUUGCAUUAUUUAUUUUCUUUUAUUUUUUCCUUUAUUUUUUAAUACUUUGCUUUUAGGUCAGAAAAAUUAUAAACUUUCUAUUAGUGCCAUUAGUUUUAGAAAAAUUACAAACUUUUUGUUAUUGCCAUUAGUUUUCAAAUUUAAGUAGUUAAAAUUUGAAUUCUUUGAAAUUUGUGUGAAUCACAAGUUUGUGAUUAACUUUACUAUAAAAAUAGUUUUUUCCCAGUUUUUUGUUUUGUUUUUUGCAUUAUUUAUUUUCUUUUGUUUUUUGCUUUAUUUUUUAAUUCUUUUUGCUUUUAGAUCUGAAAAAUUAUAAACUUUAUGUUAGUGCCAUUAGUUUUAGAAAAAAUAUAAACUUUCUGUUAGUGCCAUUAGUUUUCAAAUUUGAAUAGUUAAAAUUUGAAUAAUGGUAUUACGAGGGCCGAACCAUAAGACAUUAAAGCAUUUCGAAUGAACUCUGAAAAAGUUGAAAGUUGGCAUGGUAUCAUAAUUUCAUCCACAUAGCAUGUGCAUGUACAAAAUGGACAAUGGUAUCAUACUCGUCUGUUACAAAGUUGGCAUGGUAUCAUCAUAAUAGUUGCGGGAGAAAGUCUUCACUUUUUCUUUGCUUGUGUCAUUUGUUUAUUGUGCCGUAACCAUGGAUAAUCUUCAUCGUUUAUCAGGAUGCUUGGGUCAGCCUUGACUUUGAAGGGAGGAAUUGCAUGAAACUUUCAUAAUAUUCAGACAUGUCUGUCUUGCCCUCCACUCCCACGAUGUCCCUUUUUCCUGAAAGAACUAUGUGGCGCUUUGGCUCAUCGUAUGAUGUAUUCGCUUCCUUAUCUUUUCUUUUUCUCGUUUUGGUAGACAUGUCCUUCACAUAGAUAACUCGUGCCACAUCAUUGGCUAGGACGAACGGUUCGUCUGCAUACGCAAGAUUGUUGAGAUCCACUGUUGUCAUUCCAUACUUUGGGUCUACCUGUACCCCCCCUCCUAACAGAUUGACCCAUUUGCACUUAAACAAAGGGACCUUAAAAUCAUGUCCAUAGUCAAGUUCCCAUAUGUCCACUGUGUAACCAUAAUAUGUGUCCUUUCCCCUCUCGGUUGCUGCAUCAAAGCGGACACCGCUGUUUUGGUUGGUGCUCUUUUGAUCUUGGUCGAUCGUGUAAAAUGUAUUCCCAUUUAUCUCGUAUCCUUUGUAAGUCAAUACAGUCAAAGAUGGUCCCCUGGACAACAAGUACAGCUCAUCACAAACAGUGUUGUCACCUCUGAGACGUGUUUCCAACCAACUGCUAAAAGUCCUGAUGUGUUCACAUGUAAUCCAGUCGUUGCACUGCUUUGGGUGUUUGGAGCGCAGACUGUUCUUGUGUUCAUUGACAUACGGGAUCACAAAGGUAGAGUUCUGCAGAACUGUGUAGUGUGCUUGAGACAAAGAAUAUCCGCCCCUGCAUAUUAUUGAGGCCCCUCCCAGCGUGCCUUUUCUAGUCAGUCUCCCCUCAUACCACGAUUUAGGGAGACCUAUCUUCUUAAGGGAAGGAAUGGAAUCAACACAAAACCCAAUGACAUCCUCUGUUUGAUGGCCCAUGGAGAUGCUUCCUUCUGGCCUACCGCGGUUACGGACAUAUUUCUUUAGGAUUCCCAUGGACCUCUCAAAGGGGAACAUAUUGUGUAGAAAUACGGGCCCCAGAAUGACAAUCUCGAUGACUAGAUGAACUAGGACGUGCGUCAUGAUAUUGAAGAAGGAUGGUAGGAACACCAGCUCGAAACUAACAAGACAUUGCGCCACAUCACUCCUUAGCCUUGGUACGAUUUCUGGAUCGAUCACCUUCUGAGAGAUUGCAUUGAGGAAUGCACAUAGCUUCACAAUGGCUAAUCGGACUUUUUCCGGUAGAAGCCCCCUCAAUGCAACCGGAAGCAAUUGCAUCAUAAUCACGUGGCAGUCAUGAGACUUUAGGUUCUGGAACUUUUUCUCUGGCAUAUUUAUUAUUCCCUUUAUAUUCGACGAGAAGCCAGUCGUGACCUUCAUACUAAGCAGGCAUUCAAAGAAGAUUUCUUUCUCUUCUUUCGUCAGAGCGUAGCUGGCAGGACCUUUAUACUGCUUCAGAGGCAUGCCGUCUUUUUCGUGCAAACAUUGCAGGUCCUCCCGUGCCUUAGGUGUAUCUUUUGUCUUCCCAUGCACGCCCAAGAAGCCUAGCGGGUUCACGUAAAGGUUCUUCGUCACGUGCAUCACAUCGAUUGAAGAGCGGACCUCUAGGUCUUUCCAGUAGGGUAGGUCCCAAAAUAUAGAUUUCUUCUUCCACAUGGGUGCGUGUCCCUCAGCGUCAUUCGGAAUAGCUAGUCCGCCGGGACCCUUACCAACGAUUACGUGUAAAUCAUUGACCGUAGCAAGUACGUGAUCACCGGUACGCAUGGCGGGCUUCUUCCCAUGAUAUGCCUCGCCUUUGAAAUGCUUUCCUUUCUUUGACAUUGAUGGUUGGUCGAAACAAAUCUACGAUGGCCCAGGUACACAUUCUUCUUGCAUUUGUCCAGGUAUAUACUUUCAGUUUCUUCUAAACAGUGCGUGCAUGCGUGGUAUCCCUUGUUUGUUUGUCUUGAAAGGUUACUGAGAGCGGGCCAAUCGUUGAUGGUUACAAACAGCAACGCGUGCAGGUUAAAUUCCUCCUGUUUGUGCUCAUCCCACGUACGUACACUGUUUCCAUUCCACAGCUGUAAAAGUUCUAUAACUAAUGGCCUUAGGAACACAUCAACGUCGUUGCCGGGUUGCUUAUGGCCUUGGAUGAGAAUUGGCAUCAUAAUGAACUUCCGCUUCAUGCACAUCCAAGGAGGAAGGUUAUACAUACAUAGAGUCACGGGCCAGGUGUUGUGAUUGCUGCUUUGCUCCCCGAAUGGAUUAAUGCCAUCCGCGCUUAAACCAAACCAUACGUUCCUUGGGUCACUUGCAAACUCAGGCCAGUACUUUCUCUCAAUUUUUCUCCACUACGACCCGUCAGCGGGUGCUCUCAACUUCCCGUGUUUCUUACGGUCCUCACUGUGCCAUCGCAUCAACUUGGCAUGCUCUUCAUUUCUGAACAGACAUUUCAACCGUGGUAUUAUAGGAGCAUACCACAUCACCUUCGCAGGAACCCUCUUCCUGGGGGCUUGCUGUCAACAUCACCAGGGUCAUCUCGUCUAAUCUUAUACCGCAAUGCACCGCAUACCAGGCAUGCGUUCAGAUCCUUGUAUGCACCGCAGUAGAGGAUGCAGUCAUUAGGGCAUGCAUGUAUCUUCUGCACCUCCAAUCCUAGAGGGCAUACGACCUUCUUUGCUGCGUAUGUACUAUCGGGCAAUUUGUUAUCCUUUGGAAGCUUCUUCUGCAAUAUUUUCAGUAGCUUCUCAAAUCCUUUGUCAGCCACAGCAUUCUCUGCCUUCCACUGCAGCAAUUCCAGUACGGUACCGAGCUUUGUGUUGCCAUCUUCACAAUUGGGGUACAACCCUUUUUUGUGAUCCUCUAACAUGCGAUCGAACUUCAGCUUCUCCUUUUGACUUUCGCAUUGCGUUCUUGCAUUGACAAUGACCUGAUGGAGAUCAUCAUCAUCGGGCACAUCGUCUGGUUCCUCAUGAUCUUCAGCAGUUUCCCCCAUUGCAGCAUCAUUGGGCACAUCGUCUGGUUCCUCUUGAUCUUCAACAGCUUCCCCCGUUGUAGCAUCACCGUAUUCAGGGGGCACAUAGUUGUCAUCGUCCUCUUCUUCUUUGCCGUCUUCCAUCAUAACCCCUAUUUCUCGGUGCCUCGUCCAAACAUUAUAAUGUGGCAUGAAACCAUUGUAAAGAAGGUGGGUAUGAAGGAUUUUCCAGUCAGAGUAAGACUUGGUAUUCCCACAUUUAGGGCAUGGACAACACAUAAAACCAUUCUGCUUGUUUUCCUCAGCCACUUCGAGAAAAUCAUGCACGCCCUUAAUGUACUCGGAGGUGUGUCUUUCACCGUACAUCCAUUGCCGGUUCAUGUGCGUGCGUUAUAUAUAAUUAAGUGUGUCAAAAACCAUUACAGAACAUCAUGAAUAGAUAAUUAAGUGACCAAAUUAAUAGAAGUUCAUCAUAACAUUAAAACCAAAGUACAUACAUAGUUCUCAUCUAACAACAUAUAGCUCUCCAGAGCAUCUAAUUAAUUAAACCAUACAUUGAAACUAUGUAAAACAUUUCAAUGCGAAAAUAAAUGCGAUCAUAAUCGCAACUAAGGUAACAAUUGAUCCAACGGCAUAAUGAUACCAAGCCUCGGUAUGAAUGGCAUAUUUUCUAAUCUUUCUCAUCUUCAACCGCAUUGCAUCCAUCUUGAUCUUGUGCUCAUCGACGACAUCCGCAACAUGGAACUCCAAUAUCAUCUUCUCCUCCUCAUUUUUUUUAUUUUUUCCUUCAAGUAAUUGUUUUCUUCUUCAACUAAAUUUAACCUCUUGACAAUAGGGUUGGUUGGAAUUUCCGGUUCAACUACCUCCUAGAUAAAUAAAAUCUAUGCCAUGUUGGUCGGCAUAAUUGUCAUAAACAAUAAAUGAACCAAAUAGUUAUAAAAAGAUAAUAUAUACCACAUCCGAAUCAAAGCCAGGACGACGGCCGACGGAGGCGGAUACCAAAACCAUCACACUAUAUAAUAACAAGCAAUAAUAAAAGUAAGAAAAUUAGACAAUAUCUAUCUAAAGUAAGAAUUUUUCUUCUUCUAGAAAGAAGAUAAGAACAAGAGGCUCACCACAGUGGUGCCGGUGACGAGAUCGGUGCGGACGAUCAAUGGCGGUGAAGACGGGAAUGGGACGUGACGGGCCACUAAACCUAGAAAAAUCUCGAGGAAAAUGGAGCUUUGAGGUCGAGGAGAAAGCUUAACUAGUGUGGCUCUGGCCUUUCAUCGAACACCUCAUGUGCAUAGGAGGUGAGCUGGAGCACCACAAAGCCCUCCCCUCGCCGGCCAAAGAAAAACAGAGCACUGGGGUGCUCUGCUCGCGGGCGAGGGGUAUAUAUAGGCACCUCAUUGGUCCUGGUUCGUGGCAUGAACCGGGACUAAAGGGAAGCCUGUGGUCCCCGUUCAAGCCACCAACCGGGACCAAUGGUGGUGUGCCAGUAGCGAGGCCCAUUGGUCCCGGUUCGUCCCACCAACCGGGACCAAAGGGGCAUGACGAACCGGGACCAAUGCCCCCACGAGGCCCGGCAGGCCCCUGGCCUCAUGAACCGGGACCAAUGCCCCCACGGGUCCCGGUUCAGGUCCGAACCGGGACUAAUGGGCUGACCCGGCCUGAACCAAAGCCCUCUUUUCUACUAGUGUAGGCUGGACACACUUUCCUGGGUCAUGCCCGGCCUUGGAAAAUCAACACGUCGCAGCCCUACCUAGGCUCAACAGAGAGGUCAGCACGCCGGUCUAAAUCCUAUGCGUGCAGGGGUCUGGGCCCAUCGCCCAUUGCACACCUGCACGUUGCAUACGCGACCGGUGAGCAGACCUAGUAACCUCCAUUACAAUGGAAGUUAUGUUACACGGUCCAACCCGACGCGCGCCGCUCUAUUGCUGACGUCAAAAAGGCUUCGGCUGAUACCACGACGUCGAGUGCCCAUAAGUGUUCCCACAUAUUUGGUUAGUGCAUAUAGGCUAGAGGCCAGAGUCAGAUCAAAUACCAAGAUCUCGUUAAGUGUGUUAAUUGAUGUAACCGCGGCCGCCGACCAGGACCAGGCCCACAGAUGCAUAUCGAUGCAUCACUUGACAAGUAAUGGUUCCAGGUGUGCCCUAACGCAGUAGGAGGUGAUACUGGUGAAUGGGGGAAACAUCCAGGAAAGUAUCCCCGAUGUUUCACGUUUUUGGAUAGAUGAACCGAAGGGGAAAAGUUAUGUGUGCGCUAUGCUAGGGAUGUGUGGCGGGCGAACGGGCUACGUAUCCGGAUUCGUCUCGUCGUUCGGAGCAACUUUCAUGUACAAAGUAUUUUCAUUCGAGCUAUGAAUUAUUUUAUAUUAAUUUUUAAAGUUUUAAUUCAUUUUCAUGAGUUAACAUAUUAAAUUAAUCAAAAAACAUUUAUGAUGUCAUCAGGACAUAAGCAUGACAUCAUCGGCAACGCUGACCGUUGUCCGGUCAAACUGACGGGGUGGGGCCCGAUCGUCAUAGUCUUAGAUUAACUGAACAUGUUUUAAGAACCUAAUUACAUGAUUAGGUUAACUAAGUAGAGUUUAUUAGGUUAAUUGAUUUAUUUUCUAAUUAAUUAAUUUCAAUUCUUUUUUUUUGUUUAUAUCUUUUUUAAACGUUCUGGGGUGGGGCCCUUCUGUCAUAAGAAGGGGCAUAACAGGCACUGGGUUUCGGGUGCAGGGGCACGGCCACGAGCGCCCGACGGGACAAGCUCAGGCGCUGGCCUCGGGCGAGACCAGCGGCGCGAUGGUGGCCAGUCCGGCCGGCGGCAGUCGAGGCAGGCUGGGGGAGGCGGGGCGUCGGACCAGGCGGCGACGGCGAGGCAGGCGUGGGGCGGAGCCCCAAGGCGGCAAGCAGCUGGGUGGGGCCGAGGCAGAACGCGACGACUUGGCGAUGGAGGCGGGUGGAGGCGGGAGUGUGGUAGGGACGAGUGGACGGGCGCAGGAGAGGAGCAGUGGCGCCGGGGGGGAGUGGGGCGCGAGUGGGCAGAGCCGGGCGAUGUCGGCUGGCAACCAGGGAGGGAGCAGGGCAGCGGCAACUAGAGGAGGGAAACAGCGGAAGAGGCGGUUCGGCCCGGAGCCGCAAGGUGCGUGCGGGCCAUGCGAGUUGCAGUUCGGCAGCAGCAGUACAAGCACCAGCGGGCAUCAGCGCUUGCGGAAGCGAUGACACGCGGGCAGCUGCGAGCAAGCGGUGGCGGGUAGCAGCGAGGCCACACACAGGCGCGAGUGCACAGGCUGCAACAGCGAGCGGCAACAGCAGAAGCAGAGGCAGCAGCGCAGUUGCAGCGAGUAGUGGCGAACGGCAGGGAGCACGUCUGACGUGGCGAGUGCGCACAGGCGCGUGGUUUCCAGGAGGAACGGGGAGAGAGGAAGGGUGCGUGCUCACGGGCGGUGCCGGGACGACGGGUGGCGAGGGUCGGUGAGGACCGGCGGGGAGGAGAUCAUGACGGGGCGGCGAGGUCGAGGCAGUCUGGCACAACGAGGUGGAGGCCGUUGGGGAGGUGGACAGGGACACCAUGGCGGGCGCGAGAUCCACAGGCGGCAACGGCGCGGUCGGGGUUGGGGGGGGGGGAAUGUAUCCGGUGCACCCGCACUUGUGGUGCUACCGGUGCACCGGAUGCCAUAGAAUAUUUUUAAAAAUGUGAAAAAAAAUCUAGCAUGUUAACACAUCAUCAAUGUAUGAUGUCACAAAAAUUCGUACAAAAAUUUGAAAUAUUUUUUGAGCUACAAAAAUGACAAAUUUGACAUCAGUGUGAUAAUGGGCCAAACCUAAACCCAAGUUAUGUUAUGUACUAUUUAGUGUUGAAUUUGUCAUUUUUGUUUUUCAAGUUAUAUUUUGAAUUUUAACUUGAUUUUUUGUGACAACCUACAAUGAUGUUGUAUGAAUUUGCUAAAUUUAUGUCAGAUUUUUUUGAACAUUUUAAAAGCAUAAUGNNNNNNNNNNNNNNNNNNNNNNNNNNNNNNNNNNNNNNNNNNNNNNNNNNNNNNNNNNNNNNNNNNNNNNNNNNNNNNNNNNNNNNNNNNNNNNNNNNNNNNNNNNNNNNNNNNNNNNNNNNNNNNNNNNNNNNNNNNNNNNNNNNNNNNNNNNNNNNNNNNNNNNNNNNNNNNNNNNNNNNNNNNNNNNNNNNNNNNNNNNNNNNNNNNNNNNNNNNNNNNNNNNNNNNNNNNNNNNNNNNNNNNNNNNNNNNNNNNNNNNNNNNNNNNNNNNNNNNNNNNNNNNNNNNNNNNNNNNNNNNNNNNNNNNNNNNNNNNNNNNGUUUCGGGGUACUAGGGGAUAUGGGCAUGACUGGUGGGCCGGCCUAGUAGCCUGGUGGGCCGAGGCCCAUGGGAGAGGGGGUGGUCUUUUUAUUUUUGUGUUUUAGUUUUCCGUUUUACUUAUUUUCUUCUAUAUUUUAUUUUAUUGUUCAAUUCAUUUUUGUUUUUAAAAAUAUACAAUUGACACCUAAAAUAGUGUUGUAAUUUAAGCCUCUGUAAUAACAAGUUUGACUACUAAAGAGUACAAUUUCUUCUUUCAUAAUAAUAAAAAGGCAUUUAAUUAAAUUUAUAAAUAAUUAUUUUAUUUAUUUUUAAACAUGUAAACACAUUAUAAAAUGUGGUCUCUCCUCGAAUAUUUAUUAUGGAUUAUUUGCCACCUCUAGAACAUUUUAGUUUUAAUGUUUGAAAACUGGGUUUGAAUCAUCACGAGGUUAUUAACAGUAAUCGUGGUGACGUGGCAACAUUAUCAUAGGUUUAUUGUAGCUUUACUAUCAGGGCGUCACACACCAAGACAGAAUUCCCAUCACAAUGAUAUCGGACCGAUUCCACAGUACCCACGUGAUCCUAAAAAAUUGAGCGAAAACAGGAGAGUGAAGUCCAAACAUCUACGUCAGGACUCCUCGCCAGAGUGACAAAGUGGAUAAGGAAUAAAAAGAAGUCCUACUCUCCGAUAUAACUAAGAUUCAACAACGGCAGCGGUUCGAUCAAUCAAGGGGGAUCCUGCGGUCGGUAAGGCUCUAAUACCAAGUUGUAGCACCCAAGAUGCGAUUCUAUACAAAUCACGUGAUGAACUCACGAUCGGGGCACAAUCGCAUUUCGAGCGCAUAGCAAGGUGAAUAUCAUUACAACAUACCAUGUACUGAAUAGGUGAGAAUACAAGAUAAAUGCUUACACUCGCCACAUGCUACAACAUGAAUACAAUGGUUCAUGAAUACAUAGCAAGUAUCAUAUAGAAGAGCGGGAUCCGGCUACGGAUGAACACAAACGAAAAAGAAGAACACCAUCCACCCUGCUAGCCCAGGCUCCCGACCUGGAACCUAUUUCUCUUGGUCAAAGAAGAACUCCAAACAAGCAAGCAUCGCUCUCAAUCAUGAACAUCGCACAACUUGUACCUGCAAUUGUUGUUGUAGUAAUCUGUGAGGCACGAGGACUCAGCAAACCCAUUACCAUGGGUAUCAAGACUAGCAAAUCUUAAUGGGUAUGGAAAAGCAUAAGUGGUUAGGUUGCAGCAGCGACUAAGUAUUGUAUGGUGGCUAACUUACGAAUACAAGAGUAAGAUGAGAAAAUACACAAACGGUCGCAAACUAGUAACGAUCAAGAAGUGAUCCUGAACUACUUACGUUCAAACAUAACCCCACCGUGUUCUCUUCCCGAACCCACUUGAAAAUAGAUGAUCACGAUUACGCACGCGGUUGGUGUAUUUUAAUUGAGUUUAGUUUAAGUCCACUACAACUGGAUAUAAAAAAUUCCCAUCUGCCCAUAACCGUGGGCACGACUCUGGAAAGUUUAAACCUUACAGGGGUGUCCCAACUUAGCCCAUGAGAAGCUCAUGAUCUGCGAAGACAAUCCUCCAUCUCGGGACCCUCCGAUCAGACUAGGAAUCCCGAUGCACAAGACAUUUCGACAAUGGUAAAACAAGUCCAGCAAGACCUCCCGACGUGCCGAUACCCUGAUAGUAGCCACGCGUAUCUCGUCUCAGGCCAUGAUCGGAUUGGCUAAGUUUCCGGCUAGCACACCUGUUGGUGGCCCCGACUACUGCAAUUUUGAACCAAACUCAUGAGGACCACUAGCCCGGGUGGUUGAUUAAGUCCUCGUGGUCCAGAAAAUCCCUAUGCAAGUUUUUAGUUGUUAUAAGGCAAAUGGUAAAACCAAGGUUGGGCCUUGCUGGAAGAGUUUUAUUCAAAGCGAACUAUCAAGAGGGGCCCAUAAACCCUCACCGUGUUAGGGACGCAAAAUCAAGAAACAUAACACCGGUAUGACGGAAACUAGGGCGGCAAGAGUGGAACAAAACACCAGGCAAAAGGUUGAGCCUUCCACCCUUUACCAAAUACAUAGAUGCAUUAAUUAAAUAAGAGAUAUUGUGAUAUCCCAUGAUAUCCAUGUCCCAACAUGGAACAACCAGCAACUGCACCUGCAACUAGGAACGCUAUAAGAGGGGCUGAGCAAAGCGGUAACAUAGCCAAACAACGGUUUGCUAGAAUGGUGGAAAAGGGUAGAGGCUGUUUCAUAGCAUAUUGCGAGGCUGGAUAAACAAGCAGUAGAUAGCGCGACAUAGAGAUAGCACCGAGAGAACUAGCAUAGCAAAGAUACUAAUGAGAUCCAAGGUGACGGUCAUCUUGCUGCUACCUCUUUUAGCACUGCGUUGGUUUUCCCCGAAGAGGAAGGGAUGAUGCAGCAAAGUAGCGUAAGUAUUUCCCUCCGUUUUUUAGAACCAAGGCAUCAAUCCAGUAGGAGGCUACGCGCGAGUCCCUCGUACCUGCACAAAAUAAAUAAAUCCUCGCAACCAACGCAAAUAGGGGUUGUCAAUCCCUAUAAGGCCACUUACGAGAGUGAGAUCUGAUAAAUAUGAUAAGAUAAUAUUUUUGGAAAUUUUACGAUAAUGUGCAAAGUAAAAUAAAAACAAAGUAAAUAGAAAAGUACUAGGAGAUUAAUAUGAUAAAGAUAGACCCGGGGGCCAUAGGUUUCACUAGUGGCUUCUCUCGAGAGCAUAAGUAUUCCAUGGUGGGUGAACAAAUUACUGUUGAGCAAUUGACAGAAUUGAGCAUAGUUAUGAGAAUAUCUAGGUAUGAUCAUGUAUAUAGGCAUCACGCCCGAGACAAGUAGACCGACUCCUUCCUGCAUCUACUACUAUUACUCCCCUCAUCGACCGCUAUCCAGCAUGCAUCUAGAGUAUUAAGUUAAAAACAGAGUAACGCCUUAAGCAAGAUGACAUAAUGUAGAGGGAUAGACUCAUGCAAUAUGAAGAAAACCCCAUCUUGUUAUCCUCGAUGGCAACAAUACAAUACGUGCCUUGCUGCCCUUACUGUCACCGGGAAAGGACACCGCAAGAUUGAACCCAAAGCUAAGCACUUCUCCCAUUGCAAGAAAGAUCAAUCUAGUAGGCCAAACCAAACUGAUAAUUCGAAGAGACUUGCAAAGAUAACCAAUCAUACAUAAAAGAAUUCAGAGAAGAUUCAAAUAUUAUUCAUAGAUAGACAUGAUCAUAAUCCCACAAUUCAUCAGUCUCAACAAACACACCGCGAAAAGAAGAUUACAUCGAAUAGAUCUCCACAAGAGAGGGGGAGAACAUUGUAUUGAGAUCCAAAAAGAGAGAAGAAGCCAUCUAGCUACUAACUAUGGACCUGUAGGUCUGAAGUAAUCUACUCACACUUCAUCGGAGAGGCUAUGGUGUUGAUGUAGAAGCCCUCCGUGAUCGAUGCCCCUCCGGCGGAGCUCCGGAACAGGCCCCAAGAUGGGAUCUCGUGGAUACAGAAAGUUACGGCGGUGGAAUUAGGGUUUUGGCUCCAUCUCUGGUCGUUUGGGGGUACGUGGGUAUAUAUAGGAGGAAGAAGUACGUNNNNNNNNNNNNNNNNNNNNNNNNNNNNNNNNNNNNNNNNNNNNNNNNNNNNNNNNNNNNNNNNNNNNNNNNNNNNNNNNNNNNNNNNNNNNNNNNNNNNNNNNNNNNNNNNNNNNNNNNNNNNNNNNNNNNNNNNNNNNNNNNNNNNNNNNNNNNNNNNNNNNNNNNNNNNNNNNNNNNNNNNNNNNNNNNNNNNNNNNNNNNNNNNNNNNNNNNNNNNNNNNNNNNNNNNNNNNNNNNNNNNNNNNAGCAACAGGGGGGCCCAUGAGGGUGGAGGGCGCGCCUGGGGGGGGGGGGGGCAGGCGCGCCCCCUACCUCGUGGCCUCCUGUUAGUUGGUUUGACGUAGGGUCCAAGUCUCCUGAGUUGUAUUCGGUGAGAAAAUCACGUUCCCGAAGGUUUCAUCCAUUUGAACUCCGUUUGAUAUUCCUUUUCUUCGAAACCCUAAAACAGGCAAAAAAACAGCAAUUCUGGGCUGGGCCUCCGGUUAAUAGGUUAGUCCCAAAAAUAAUAUAGAAGUGGAUAAUAAAGCCCAAUAAUGUCCAAAACAGUAGAUACUAUAGCAUGGAGCAAUCAAAAAUUAUAGAUACGUUGGAGACGUAUCAAGCAUCCCCAAGCUUAAUUCCUGCUCAUCCUCAAAAUAACAUGGCUAAAUAAAGUUAUCCCUACAAAAUCAUAUAGUCUGGCUAUGCUCUAUCUUCACCACACAAAAUAUUUAAAUCAUGCACAACCCCGAUGACAAGCCAAGCAAUUGUUUCAUACUUUUGACAUUCUCAAAACUUUUUCAAUCUUCACACAAUGCAUGAGCGUGAGCCAUGAAUAUAGCACUAUAGGUGGAAUAGAGUGGUGGUUGUGGAGAAGACAAAAAGGGGAAGAUAGUCUUACAUCAACUAGGCGUAUCACUAGGCUAUGGAGAUGCCCAUCAAUAGAUAUCAAUGUGAGUGAGUAGGGAUUGCCAUGCAACGGAUGCACUAGAGCUAUAAGUAUAUGGAAGCUCAAAAAUAAACUAAGUGGGUGUGCAUCCAACUUGCUUGCUCAUGAAGACCUAGGGCAAUUUUGAGGAAGCCCAUCAUUGGAAAAUACAAGCCAAGUUCUAUAAUGAAAAAUUCCCACUACUAUAUGAAAGUGAUAACAUGAGAGAGUCUCUAACAUGAAGAUCAUGGUGCUACUUUGAAGCACAAGUGUGGUAAAAGGAUAGUAACAUUGUCCAUUCUCUCUUUUUAUCUAAUUUUUUUAUUUUUAUUUUUUUCAUUUGGGACUUUUCUCUUUUUUAUGGCCUCUUUUCUUUCUUUUUUUAUUUUUUCGUCCGGAGUUUGAUCCCGACUUGUGGGGGAAUCGUAGUCUCCAUCAUCCUUUCCAACACUUCUAUUUUUCUUACAACUCAACAAUUACAACUCGAUACUUAGAACAAAAUAUGACUCUAUGUGAAUGCCUCCGGCGGUGUACCGGGAUAUGCAAUGAUUCAUGAGAGACAAGUAUGAAAGAAUUAUGAACGGUGGCUUUGCCACAAAUACUAUGUCAACUACAUGAUCAUGCUAGGCAAUAUGACAAUGAUGGAGUGUGUCAUGAACGGAACGGUGGAAAGUUGCAUGGCAAUAUAUCUCGGAAUGGCUAUGGAAAUUCCAUAAUAGGUAGGCAUGGUGGCUAUUUUGAGGAAGGUAUUUGGAGGGUGUAUGAUACCGGCGAAAGGUGCGCGGUAUUAGAGAGGCUAGAAAGGGUGGAAGGGUGAGAGUGCGUAUAAUCCAUGGACUCAACAUUAGUCAUAAAGAACUCAUAUACUUAUUGCAAAAAUCUACAAGUUAUCAAAGCAAAGUAUUACGUGCAUGCUCCUAGGGGGAUAGAUUGGUAGGAAAAGACCAUCGCUCGUCCCCGACCGCCACUCAUAAGGAAGAUAAUCAAUAAAUAAAUCAUGCUCCGACUUCAUCACAUAACGGUUCACCAUACGUGCAUGCUACGGGAAUCACAAGCUUCAACACAAGUAUUUCUCAAAUCGACAACUACUCAAAUAGCAUGACUUUAAUAUCACCAUCUCCAUAUCUCAAAACAAUUAUCAAGUAUCAAACUUAUCAUAGUAUUCAACACACUCAUAAGAAAGUUUUAUUAUUAAUCUUGUAUACCAAGCAUAUUAGGAUUUUAAGCAAAUUACCAUGCUAUUAAGACUCUCAAAAUAAUCUAAGUGAAGCAUGAGAGAUCAGUAGUUUCUAUAAAACAAAUCCACCACCGUGCUCUAAAAGAUAUAAGUGAAGCACUAGAGCAAAAUUAUAUAACUCAAAAGAUAUAAGCGAAGCACAUAGAGUAGUCGAACAAAUUCCAAAUCAUGUAUGGCUCUCUCAAAAGGUGUGUAAAGCAAGGAUGAUUGUGGUAACCUAACAAAUAAAGACUCAAAUCAUACAAGACGCUCCAAACAAAACACAUAUCAUGUGGUAAAUAAAAAUAUAGCUCCAUGUAAAGUUACCGAUAGAAGUAGACGAAAGAGGGGAUGCCUUCCGGGGCAUCCCCAAGCGUUGGCGUUUAGGUGUCCUUAGAUUAUCUUGGUGGUGCCAUGGGCAUCCCGAAGCUUAGGCUCUUGCCACUCCUUGUUCCAUAAUCCAUCAAAUCUUUACCCAAAACUUGAAAACUUCACAACACAAAACUUAAAGUAGAAAAUCUCGUGAGCUCCGUUACCAAAAGAGAAUAAAAGACCACUUCAAGGUACUGUAAUGAUCACAUUCUUUAUUUAUAUGGGUGUUAUAAAUAAUGUAUUCCAAGUUCUCUAUGGUUUAUAAACUAAUUUACUAGCCAUAGAUUCAUCAAAAUAAGCAAACAACACACGCAAAACAGAAUCUAUCAAAAACAGAACAGUCUGUAGUAAUCUGUAGCUAGCGCAAGAUCUGGAACCCCAAAAAUUCUAAAAUAAAUUUCUGGACGUGAGGAAUUUAUCUAUUAAUCAUACGCAAAAAUAAUUAACUAAAUAUCACUUUCCAAAUAAAAAUUACAGCAGUUCUUGUGAGCGCUAAAGUUUCUGUUUUUUACAGCAAGUUCAACAAGACUUUCCCCAAGUCUUCCCAACGGUUCUACUUGGACAAACACUAAUUAAACACAAAAAAACACAACCAAAACAGAGGCUAAAUAAUUUAUAUAUUACUAAGCAGGAGCAAAAAGCAAGGAGUAAAAAUAAAAUUGGGUUGCCUCCCAACAAGCGCUAUCGUUUAACGCCCCUAGCUAGGCAUAACAAGCAAGAAUAGAUCUAGGUAUUGCCAUAUUUGGUAGGAAAUUCUUCAAUGAGGCAUAUACCAUCUUUAAGAAUUUAUUUAUUUUUAUUGAUUAUCAAACUUUUAGGCACAAGAUCGAAAAAUUCAUUUGUAACAAAUGGUUCCUUAAUGCUAGCAAAAAGAUUGGGAUGAACACUAAUAGAUUUGAGAUCUGCAUUUUCCUUACUAGAUGAUUCACCCUUAUUUUUAGAAACGUAUAUAAUCUUGGCAAUUUUAGUGGGAAGGACUUGGAGUAUUCUUCACAUAAGAAAAAGCGGUUCCCAAGUUGGUAAUAAUAUUCUCAAGUUUAUCGAUCCUAACAGAAUCGUGAUUUAUUUUCUCGUUAACUAUGGGUUCCUUUUAUUUAAUAUCUUUCAAAGUAACUCCUACUUUAGAUCCAUGUUGAGAGAUUCGGCUGUGGAUAUUUUUAUCCAAAUUUUCAAUUAACUCUAUGGUAGCAACCUUAUUUUCAAUAAUCUCAAGCCUUUGCAUUACAUGCUCCAAAGUUAAUAUAGUUCCAUUAACCAAGAGAGGGGGUGAGCCAAAUAAAUCUAACAUAGCAUUAUAAGAAUUAAAAGUAUGGCUAUCCAAAAAGUUCCCUCCGGUAAUAGUAUCAAGAACAUAACGGUGCCAAGGAGUAAUGUCUACAUAAAAAUUGCGAAGGAGAAUGGUAGUAGAUUGCUUCCAAGUAGAUCUAUUUUGAGCAUUGCAAAUUCUAUACCAAGCAUCUUUUAGAUUUUCACCCUCCCUUUGCUUAAAUUUUAGAAUUUCAUUCUCGGGAGACAAGGAGAAGAUAAGGGACUAGCCAUAACGACAAGCAAGCACACAAAAAGCAAGCGGACAAAAAGGGGCAAAUAGAGAAAGAGAGGGAGGAUAGAGAGAGAGAGGGCGAAUAAAACGGCAUGGGUGAAUUGGGGGGAGAGGAAAACGAGAGGCAAAUGGAAAAUAAUGUAAUGCGGGAAAUAAGGGUAUGUGAUGGGUACUUGGUAUGUUGAAUUUUGCGUAGACCUCCCCGACAACGGCCCUAGAAAUCCUUCUUGCUACCUCUUUUAGCACUGCGUUGGUUUUCCCCGAAGAGGAAGGGAUGAUGCAGAAAAGUAGCAUAAGUAUUUCCCUCAGUUUUUGAGAACCAAUGUAUCAAUCCAGUAGGAGGCUACGCGCGAGUCCCUCGUACCUGCACAAAACAAAUAAAUCCUCGCAACCAAUGCAAAUAGGGGUUGUCAAUACCUAUAAGGCCACUUACGAGAGUGAGAUCUGAUAGAUAUGAUAACAUAAUAUUUUUGGUAUUUUUAUGAUAAAUAUGCAAAGUAAAAUAAAGGCGAAGUAAAUAGCAAAGUAAAUAACUAAGUAGUAGGAGAUUAAUAUGAUAAAGAUAGACCCGGGGGCCAUAGGUUUCACUGUUGGCUUCUCUCGAGAGCAUAAGUAUUCUAUGGUGGGUGAACAAAUUACUGUUGAGCAAUUACAGAAUUGAGCAUAGUUAUGAGAAUGUCUAGGUACGAUCAUGUAUAUAGGCAUCACGUCCGAGACAAGUAGACCGACUCCUGCCUGCAUCUACUACUAUUACUCCACUCAUCGACCUCUAUCCAGCAUGCAUCUAGAGUAUUAAGUUAAAAAUAGAGUAACGCCUUAAGCAAGAUAACAUGAUGUAGAGGGAUAGACUCAUGCAAUAUGAAGAAAACCCCAUAUUGUUAUCCUCGAUGGCAACAAUACAAUACGUGCCUUGCUGCCCUUACUGUCACCGGGAAAGGACACCGCAAGAUUGAACCCAAAGCUACGCACUUCUCCCAUUGCAAGAAAGAUCAAUCUAGUAGGCCAAACCAAACUAAUAAUUCGAAGAUACUUGCAAAGAUAACCAAUCAUACAUAAAAGAAUUCAGAGAAGAUUCAAAUAUUAUUCAUAGAUAGACUUGAUCAUAAACCCACAAUUCAUCGGUCUCAACAAACACACCGCAAGAAGAAGAUUACAUCGAAUAGAUCUCCACAAGAGAGGGGGAGAACAUUGUAUUGAGAUCCAAAAAGAGAGAAGAAGCCAUCUAGCUACUAACUAUGGACCCGUAGGUCUGAAGUAAACUACUCACACUUCAUCGGAGAGGCUAUGGUGUUGAUGUAGAAGCCCUCCGUGCUCGAUGCCCCCUCCGGCGGAGCUCCGGAACAGGCCCCAAGAUGGGAUCUCGUGGAUACAGAAAGUUACGAUGGUGGAAUUAGGAUUUUGGCUCUGUCUCUGAUCGUUUGGGGGUACGUGGGUAUAUAUAGGAGGAAGAAGUACGUCGGUGGAGCAAAAGGGGGCCCACGAGGGUGGCGGGCGCGCCUGGGCACUACUAGGGAAAAGCCUAGCAGCAGCACAGUUUUGGGCCUCUCAGUAGCACGGGGACCGGCGGUACUAAUAAGGCGCUACAACUAACGUAUAGCAGUAGCGCCUAUUGUCACACGGUACUGCUAUAUAGGAAUAGCUGUAGCGCUAUUUAGAAAAGGGUGCUGCUGAUAUUAUCUGCAGCGCUGUUUACUGGGAAGCACUACUAGUAAGGCGGCGCUACUUCUAAAUUUCCCCCACUCGCUACUACUAGUUUUGUUAGUUUUUCCCUGCAUAUUUGUUUUGUAUUUGAAUAGGCUUUAUACAAUAAUCUUUAGCAUAUCAUACACAUACAAAUGUAAUCAUAGCAUAUACAUACAAUUAGUAUCAUCAAAUCAUGUCAUCAUCAUAAUCAUCAUCCAACACAAAGUGGUCUCUCGUCAUCAUCUCAAAAAUAGCGAUACAAGUCUCGAUUACUUGCAAAUACAUCGUCAUCCAUCUAAACAAUGAUAUAUGCGAGAAGAGCUAUCAUUUUGAGUACAUGAGUUCGUAUCCCUCUCUCGCAUUGCCGUGAACCUAAACUAACUACUGCAUAUCGCUCGGAAACCAGAAACCGGUACACCUGGGCCUGACACUCCGGCCACUUGUCCUAUAUAUACUCCUGGUGUAGCACUUCUUCGCCAUCUAUGAUCUAUGCACCUACAUCGUCACAUGAGUUGAUGAUAUGCAACAUAUAUAGUUGAGCAACAGAAAGAGACAUAUUUUGCAAAAAUAGAAACAACAUAUCAUAAGCAUAAAUAACAAAGUUCAUCGUACCCCAAAAUGCCCUAACUAGAGUGAUUUUCGCUAGUCGAGGAGGAGGACGAUUUAAUUACAUCACAAAUAAAGUUUCACCAUGCAUAACUCAAAGUUUUGUCAUACAGAAAGUAUGGACUAAACGGACACAUUGUCAUAUAUCGACAAUCACUCCAACAUGUCGUUCCAUCCAUCCAAGUCAGGGAGGUAGUCCUCGAGCUUAGUGAAAGGCUUCAUGUCGAGACGCCGAGAGGCUAUCCAUGUUCGGACGUCUUCCCGUGACAUUUGUCCUUCUCCGUAGAACAUCCCUGUUUUUCCGACGACCUCCUUCAUGAUGAUUUGGCAAGUUCGCGCUGGAUGUUAUAGAACUCAGCUCGAAGUCGAUGAUCCUCGAUAUCUCCUACGCCCUUUGCCCAUUGCAGAAUAUGGGCAUCGCCGGAUCUAGGUGACAUGCGAAGGUUCUGGUGAUCCCGUCUGUACUCCAUCAUGUGGUGUAGGACAUAGAAUCCAUCAUUAAGAGAAUCGUUCAGUUGUUGGAUGCAGCAGAAGUCGGUCUUAUGGUCGAAGGCGGCCCUGCCGCCCCAUCUCUUCUUCUCCCUGACCUCUCCACCCCUUGCUUGGUAGUAAAACAUAGAACUAUUGAGAACAUCCUUGAUGUGGGUGUAAUACUUUUUGUGAAUGUUCUUCGAUGAGUCCAAGUAAAGAGCGUGGGAGAAUCAGGGUAGAGGAUGAUGAGGAUGGCGCGCCCGCCGCUGCGCAAAAUAAGUAGACCUCAAAUUAAUUAGCCUCCACCAUGCAAAUGAAUGAUUGAAAUUGAAGGAAGGAUAGAAGUGCAGAUGACUUACACGGGAUGAUAAGGCACGAGAAUCGCCUCAUUGUCCUUAUUGGCGAGCAUGAAAUUGAGGAUGUAAUCCCUCGUGUAUUCACGGUGCUUUGCGCAGACUCCCAAGAAGCUCUCGUGCAUGUAGUACGGGUCAGCGACACAGAUAUGAGAUAUGUGCUCAACCCCGAUGAUGUAGUUCAUGUGCAAGGCAUAAAGGCGGACAAACAUAAAAUCCAGCUUCUUCACGUGAAACAUGUCGAAUAUGUAAUCGAAUCAAAGGAAGAACUUAUCCGUGGGGAAGCUGUCGACGUACGACAUUUGCCGCAGAACGUUAACCACGUAGAGUGUGUAUCCUGGAUCUUUCGAGGCCAUGAGUCCUUUCUCUACCUGCAGGACAUCGUCAUGAAGUCUCCUUAGAUCGCCGAAUCUGACCCGUAGCGCCGUUGCAGGUAGGAUUGGUUGACCGGGGAUAUGCCAUUUAUCCGCAUCAGGGAUAUCUAUAUGGUCCUGAAGCCGAGGCUGCUAAGGCGGCUGGAUCAUAGAAUCACCUUUUUUUCCUUUCCUCACUCUCUUCCUAGACUUCUUUACUACCGGAAGGUCGUCCAUAAUACGUUCAUACGGCAAUUCAGGCACCGACUCAUGAUGCUCAAACCCUGAGGAGGCGCCAGUAUAGACAUACUGUUCAGAGCCAUCGUCAUCCUCAUCCUCAUCCAUGGCGACGUCAUCAGCGACUAAUGGAGCCUCCUCCUUACCCCGUCCGCUAUCAACCAACCCGACACCCGACGCUAAUUGGGUAGGUGGGGUGUUGAUGUUCAUACCUUGCUGAGGCUGUGUGCUCGUGGGUGUGCUCCCGGCCGCCUCCAGAUGAAGCAGACUCUUUGGCCACAACAGGACCCACCCAUUAUUGCAAAAAUUACCAAGCCGCCGCGGUGUCUCGUCAUCAUCCCCCACUAGUAUUGGAGGAGGCAAAUUCUCGUGGCCCGGUUUGACACUGGCCACGGAAACCUUGAUGACGUUCGGGGGGAUCGGCCGGCUCUGGAACAAUGGUUCCUUCGGCUCCAUUAUCGUCGCCUUCCCCACGUCCACCUUCUGGUCGCCGAUGGUGUACAAUAUGGUGCACGGGGUUUCGUUGGCCUGCAAAGAAAAGUCUGGGACAUGAGACAUCUGAAAGGCAACGAAAACGGGAGAUUAUACAUUUAUAUUGAAGGGGUCCGGUGUGACAGAUACCGUGAGGGCGUCGAGCUCAGCCAAAGACGAAGCACCACCGAGCACGUCCGGUGUGGGAGCCGGUGUGGGAGCAAGUGCUGGUGCAACGCUAGUCGAGCUGCUCCCCAAGAAGUCAGCAAGGGGAAAGUCUUCUGCAUUUUUUUUUCUGGAUUUUGCCUUGUCCAAGUGAAAACGCCCAUCACCAAGGAAGUAGACAAAUAUACAACCACCUGUUUUGCGGCAGCUACCGCUGUUGUGACUGUAUGAGAUGAUUUCUUCUCAACCGCAAUCUCAACCUUCUUGUCGAUGUUUUCUUCAGUUAACCUCCGUCUUUCCUUUCUCUCCUCCAUGGUCUCACGAUAGUACUUCUUCCAUGUGGCGCCGUCUCUGACACCGUGCACGCGUCAUACAAUGGUCGAGUAUCCACCGGUUAUCGUUUCAAUAUGUUCAACGCCCGGUUGAAUGGAGUGUCCCACUUGGGCCUCGCCAAUGCAUUAGACGGCGAGUCGCUUUCGGCCGCAAUCCGGUGCUGCUCUCUCUGGAAAAGGCACAAGGAUUGUUUACAAAUAUGACUAACGUGUGCAGUCGAAUUGAUCAGAAACUAAAAUUACCAGCAGUCUCAUGAACUCCGUAAUGACCGGUUUUGUCUCGUAAACCUUCUUCACUGGGUCCCAACGGUGCCGGGCCCUAAGUACGUCACGCUCCUGCGGGAUAGUGAAAUCCGCCAAGGGGUCUGGGAUGCCUAGACUCGCGGCUUCCUUGGCCCAUUUGGACCUCUCUCCGCCGUAACUACGGCUUCCGAGGUGGUGGCUCCCAAUGUUCCUCUCUUGAAGCCCCUUCAUGUACUGAGACUUUUUUUGGCAGGUUCGGCCUCGCAAGCGUCCUUGAAUAUUUGAAACUGUUCUUCUGUGAUUGUCAGAUUAUCCUUUACAAUCUCGGAGUAGGGUUCCUUCUUGUCGAUGAUCUUUGCUUUCACUCGAUUUUUCCAGGCGGCCAACGCGUCGCUAAACUUGGUCAUGGCGUGUUUGUUUAUCUUCUUCAUUGCCGGGUCCUCAUCUGGAUCUUCAUAAUCCUUCUCAUUCCGGCCCAGGAACAAUAAUAUCUGGUGAAACUUCUUUAGGAGGGAGCUCCUCAUAUUUUCUAUCUUCUGUAGUUUCUCAUCGUUGAUGGUGGCGGUUGUCCGUACGAUGCAGCCUAUUUGAUUGUCGUAGCAUCGACGCGCUUCCUCGGGCGCCUUUGGCUCAAAAUUGCCAUCGUCCAUCUCCGUGACCACCAGUCUAGUAGUCCUGAGUUUGUUAGGAGGUCAUUGCCUCUUUGCUUUCGAUUCUACACCGGCUCCGCUCCCCGGGGCAGCGCCGGUCUCAGUCUCAGCACCAGUCUCGAUGCCGGUCUGAGUCUCAGCGCCGGUCUCAGUCUCACCAUCGGUCUGUGUGUCGGCAAGGCUAAAAAAUUCGUCUGCCGCCCGGUAGACGUCGUUGCAAUCACCAGAACCAUGUCCUUCAUCGUUGCUAGCCAUGUUUCCUACGAUUAAAUCUAGUCAAUUAAUUCUAGACCUAAUAAAAUGAAUAAUGACAUAAAAAAGGCCUAUUGUUUUGUAGGAACGUUGACUCCUUCUCGGUGCGGCAAAUCCCGGCCACUCGAUAUGUCCUAGUUUGUAGCACAAGUCAUGCCGAAAUUCAUGGAAAAUUUCGGCAUGACCUUUGCUAAAAGUGGACAAAUCGAGAACCUGAAUUUUGCCGGAACGGAAAUGAAUCAACAUUCCAGCAAAACAUAGGCCACUCGGCUUCAUUCCCUGGAAACAACAAAAGUCCACUUGGGCACAAUCGAACCACUUCAAUGUCGAUUAUGAUCAAUGAGCAAACACAGCUGAGGAUUUUUCAUAUAUGAUGACCACUUCAAAUUUGCAUCUCCUAGUGAUUGACACUUCAAGAAAAUCUACACAGAUCUCAUGCUCUCUGAAACUCAAUUCAAAAACCAAAUAUAGAUGGAUGAACCCUAGAACUCAAAUUACGAACCUAGAACUCAAAUUAUGUCCUAAAUUUUUGUCCUAAUAAAAAUUCACUAAAAAUUAAGAACCUACUAGACUGGCAACACUAAAUCCUACCACCCUAGUUAACAUCUAGUUAAACCUUACUUUCCUAAUAUUUGUAAUUAAACACUACAACCCUAACCCUACUGCCCUAGUUAAGCAUAUACAAUUUUUUCCUACGGCGAGGGAAGCAAGGGCGUCUCUGUCAAAGACCUAUCUAAAUUCUUUUCCUAACUAAAUUAACCUAACAAAAUUCUUUUCCUAACUAAAUUAACCUAACAAAUUUAGAGAGAGAGGAGGGGUGGGGGCUUACAGAGGAUGGCUCUGGUGGUGGCGAGGGAGGCAGGGGCGUCUCCAGUGACGGCGACGGAGGAUCCGGUGGCGUCGACUGCGGCUCUGAUGGCGUUGAUAUAGCCGCGCGGCUCCGGUGGCGUUGGAGGCGGCUCUAAUGGCGUCGAUGAUGCACAGCUCUGGUGGCUCCGGGGGACUCGACGUCGGCAGGAGACGGCGGCGAAGUAGGGCGACGACGAAUUGGGCAGACGGGGGCGGGGUGGGUCGAGGGAUUUGGGGGAGAAGUGGUGGCCAGGGCGAAACGGUUUUUUUGGUUAAGUCAAACUUAGCGGUAGCGCUUUUCGCGAAACACGCUAUAGCUAAGUUAGCUAUAGCGAUUUUCACAAAACGCGCUACUGCUAUAGCUAUGUAAUUCCCUUCAUAUUUCUUAUUUCCUUUUCUGUUUCUACAGCGGGGGUCUAGGAAACGCGCUGCAGCUACAUUAGCUAUAGCGCCUCUUACGAACAAACGCUACUGCUACGCCUUUCUCCUUUUUUCGCUUUUUCAUUUAUUUUGCUCUACAUUUUAUUUUUUCCUUUUUCCUUUUUCUAUUUCUUUCUUUUUCAUUUACUUUUCCAUUUGUUUUUUCAUUUCAUUUUAUUUCCAUUUGCAGUAGCGCUCUCCGCACGAAACGCGUUGCUACUUAUGUCCUAGCGGUAGCGCGCUUCUCUCAAGACUGCUACUGCUAUGCGUAGCCUAUCAUUUUGGCAAUGGGAAUAUUAGUCGUAGCGCUUUUUCAUGUGCACGUGCUACUGAUACUAUUGUAUCUGUCGCGGUGUUCGCAUGCGCGCUACUGCUACUUACCACUAGCGCCCGUUUUUGUCACGCGCUACUCCUAAAUUUUUGUGUAUAAGGUUUUCCCUAGUAGUGGGGGGGGGGGGCAGGCGCGCCCCCUACCUCGUGGCCUCCUGUUAGUUGGCUUGACAUAGCGUCCAAGUCUCUUGAGUUGUAUUCGGUGAGAAAAUGACGUUCCCGAAGGUUUCAUUCCGUUUGGACUCCGUUUGAUAUUCCUUUUCUUCGAAACCCUAAAACAGGCAAAAAACAACAAUUCUGGGCUUGGCCUCCAGUUAAUAGGUUAUUCCCAAAAAUAAUAUAAAAGUGGAUAAUAAAGCCCAAUAAUGUCCAGAACAGUAGAUAAUAUAGCAUGGAGCAAUCAAAAAUUAUAGAUACAUUGGAGACAUAUCACUUGCCUAAAAUCCUGCUAGGAAGAAGACUGAAUCCAUGAAGUAGACGAACUAAUGCAGUCGAAGGGAUCCUCACAAUCGCAAUGUUACCGAAACUAUCAAGAAGAAGCGCAACCGGAAAGAAUCAAGCAUCAUGGUAAACAAACAAGCAUAAACAUGGCAUGAUGCACAACCAAGUAUGAUGCAUGUCCGGUUUGAUGAGGCAUGACAUGGCAAAGUGCAACAAUAAAAUACUACAAAUUAAGUGGAGAAUUUUAAAUGAGGCUGGAACAACAAACAACAAUUCUGGAAAAUCCUCAUAUGCAUAUUUCGAAUUUGGUACUGUUCUGCUAUAAACCAUAUUUUAUUAUCGUUAAAUGGGAAUAAAGUACACCAAGUUAAUCUAUGCAUUUUUUACCCCAUUUACAUAUAAAGUUUAUAUAAUUCGAAUGUAUGGUUAAUUAGUUAUGAAAUAACUUUUAACAAGGCAUUUAGCAAAUUAAAUGCAAACAACAAUUUAAACACUUGAAACAUGGAUGAAAGUUGGAUAUUACGAAACUAGAUGAAAUCCUAAGCAUUUUUCUUAUAAAGUUUGUUUUAAUAUGAUGCACGGUUUGUGAGAUAUAAAAUGCAUGAUCAAGGAGGGGUUUUUGACAAAACCAAUAAACUCUGGAAAUUAGCUAAAAUCGCCACAGGAAAAAAACAACAUGGGAUGAAACUAGGCAGGAAGCCCAAUAAAGGAAAAAGGCCGGGGGCUGCUCACCGUAGGCCUAUAGGCCGUCGGUGCGGGGCUGCGGGGCACAGGCUGGAGAGACGAGGCGCUGGCGCGGCCGGACCCAUGCGCACAAGUGGGUCAAUGGCGAUGCGGUCCUUGCGCGGGCACAGGCGUGCAGUCAACGGGAGCGGGGCGGUUGUCGUGUUCAUGGCUCUGGACGACGACGAUGUGAGGCAAGGCGCCACGAGCCGCUGCGCUUCCGUCGGGACUUGGCGCGGAAGACAUCGAGGGUCGGCUGGUAGAGAAGCGGUGGCUUGGCAGGCCUCCAUGUCGAGACCCACGUGGCAUGCGACAGGGGAUGGAGCGGAUGCGAGGACUUGGAGCUCGUGGAGGAACCAUGGCAGAGGUGUAGAGGAGAUUCGGUCCACAACGGGGCCGGAUGCGAACUUGAACUACAGGUUGACGAACUGAAGGAGGCGGCCGCCCUGGCUCCUGCAGGUUGCGGUGGUAAGUGAGGUAAACGGAUCCGGGGAAGGAAGAAUGCAAGGAGGAGAGUGAGGGACGCGUCGGGACCUGCUUAGGCAAGGACGAUGGCUAGGUCUGGUGGGGAAUGAAGUUGUGGUCGUUGUUCUUGAUGCGGCAGAGGAAGCUGGAGCGAGACCCAGCGAGGAAGAUGGCAUGUAGGCUCGCGGGAGGUGGCCGCCGGUGAUGAGGUUCACCGGGGCGGUGGGUCGUGAAGUAGAGGAGCGCUCAGGCGCUGCUGCUUCUUGGGGUGGAGCGUCAGGCAUCUCCAAUGCGGGUGCUCGAGCGGAGGAGACAGAGGCGUGCGAGGCGGUGGCUGGUCUUGGGAGGUGCUCAUCUCCUUGGGUCGACGAGGAGAGCGGGGAGGCUCAGGCGCGAGGCCUCCUGUUUGGCUGUUGCCGCCACGAGGACGAGGAGGUGGGAACGCGAGGUGAAGCUCGGGCGCACUGGGCCGGGCAGGGGCCCGAGGCGCUCAGUGGUUGGAUUGGGGAAAGUGGAGGCUAAUUGGGAGGUGGCUGGAUUGGAUCUGAGGGAGAAGGUGCUUGGCUAGUUGGUUCAGAGAGGAAUGGAGGAUCCUGAGGAAGAUGAGACAGGAGGAGUGGCGGCGGCUAGGAGGAUGGGAUUUAUAGCAGAUGGAUUCAAGUUAGGGGAUAUCUCGUCCCUACGAUCAUAAUCGGACGGCUGAGAAAAUAUAGGUUAGGAAGUCCAAAUAAGAAACGAAGAUAUUUUGGAGAUGUUUGAAGAUGAUCCGGACCCAUCGGUCAUGACCGUGCGGUUUGGGUUCGGGAGAGGUUUCGAACGCACGAGGGAUUUGACAAAAGGUCAUGGAGACAAGGGGUUUGAUGGGCUCAGAAAAGAGAGAGAAGAGAGUGGUCCGGUUGAUCUGAAAGAAGGUCAACCGAGACAAGGAAGAAGCGACAACUAUGAGCGGAUGCAAGUUUUAUGAAAACAUGCGUAUGCAAUGCACAUGAUGACAUGAUGAAAUGCAAUAAGAAAACGAAACAC
rnacentral:lncRNA from 1 species